rnacentral:lncRNA from 1 species
GAGAGCAUAGGCAGGCGACCCGGCCCGUGCCGUUGCACGUUGGGCAUCUGGGAAACUGGCCCGGCCCGAACAUGGUCUUAGAAUCCAUUACUGACUUCACCACAACGGCCCCGGCCAGAACGCUCAACCCCGUUGCUAGUUGAGUCAAUACGAUUGGACCCAUUUCGGAUGAUUCCCCGGAUUUGCCUGUGAAUGCUGAGAUGCAGGGAGUUUUCUCCCUCUUUAUUUCGUGUAAAUUUCUGCUACUUUCCUCCCUCUUUAUUUCGUGUUUCUUUGAUUGUAUGGAACGGUGUAAAAAUUGAUCUUUUCGUGUUCAAGUGGUGGUGGUGGAAUUGUACACGUAAAUUGGAGUUAAUUUGGUGGUGUGGAGGUCGGAGGCUUUGGAGUUUAGUGUGAGAUGCUUUUUCUUGGAAGUCUGGGGAAGGCAAUCGUUUGUCGUGGUGCGGUUGUGGGCACCGUUGUUGCUCCCAAGUUGAGCCUUGACGGUCUUCUUCUAACCCAUCCUCUAAUUUUUGCGGUUUAAGAUUUCUCUAGAAGCUCUUUUCCAUCCCCCCUCUCUUUCCACAAUUUCUUUUGCAGCCCUUUUUGAGUUUUUGUUAAUCCGAGCAUAAUGUGUAAGUUUUUGUUUUUUGUCUUUCCCCACUAGCAGUGCAUAAUGCAUAUAAGGAGGAGAAGGGAGUCUUGCUUGAGCGUAUAUGAUUAGCUCGAUUGGUUAUUAGUUCUAAAGCUCUCCACCAGGUUAGCAUGUUAUUUUUGUUUUCUUAAGAUUUUUUUUUUUUUUUUACAAAUUUUGUUGCUAGGCGCAUGAUAGCAUGUAAUUUUUUUCAAUAACAAUUUGAAAAACAUCCGUCAAGGGUAUUACAUAUGCUUAAAUAUUAGAUAUCAUUUACGAAUGUUUGGAUAUCAAAAGCACUCAAGAUUCAAAGAUAAUAUACUAAAAUUUCAUGUUACUCUUUCUUUUUGAGCCCUUUAGAGUUUUUGCCAUUUCGAGUUUAAAGUGCAAUUCAGCCAAUAUUUUCUUACAAUUUAUUUUUGUAAUUGGGAGUUCUUGAGCAAGUGAUAACUUUAGCGGUCAAACAUGUAAGGUAUCAUUUGGAUUGUCACUUUUCAAAAAAUUUUUUUAAAAAAAUAUUUCAUCUACACAUUUUCUAACGAGUACUUUGUUAUCGCAGAUGCAUUACAUCUCUACAAUAAUUUUUUUAUAAAAAUUCCAAAGAGUUGUAAUCCAAACAAACUCUAAAUAUUUCUUGUGCGAUCUCAAAGAAGCCUUUUUUUCAUCUUUUAUUUAUUAAAUAAUUAAUCCCUACCUCAAGUUACGAAGAAUGUUCCAAAAAUGUUGAGCGAAAACGAAGGAAUUCAACUGGCAAAAAAAACGAAAGGUCACGGUUGUGGAGAGUGGGAUUUGAACCCACGCCCUUUCGGACCAGAACCUUAAUCUGGCGCCUUAGACCAACUCGGCCAUCUCCACUUUGUUGAUUCUGCAUUUGUUUAAACUGAAAUUUAAUAUCAAUUAUUUAUUUGUGUUUUUGAAGAAUACAGCAUUUUUGGGCUGUCUUUAAAAAGUUACACGCAUAUGCUUACUCAGACAUUAUUUUGACUUGUUUUUAUAGAUUCAGGUACCAUCCCGCUUUCAAAAAACUCAACUUUCUUUUUGUUGAGUUUGGUCAAUCAAUUUCGGCAGCGGGGUGACGGCAAAUUGUGCGUACCAGUUCUGAGAAGUUCUCUUUGGUUUCUGUCCAAACCAAGGCCAGAAAAAAUUGAAAAAAAAAAAUGGAAGAUGAAAGAAAGAUCAUAUAGAAAUGGAUUAAUUUUCUGUACACUGAUAACGUAUAUAUUGUCAUGUUUAAAUGAAUGUCACAUAUAGUAAAUUUGAAUUUCAAAUCUAAAUUUUACUUACAUGACAUUCAUCUAAUCAUGAUAAUAGAUAUAACAUUUACUCAAUAGAAAUAUGGCCAAAGAAAAGAAACUAUGCUAUGAAAAUCUCACUCGGGACAAAAAUGUUCAUCAUUGCCGCUAAUCCAGGAUGCCUACAAAUCGAUACCAUCGCACCAUCUCUCGCAAGUUCUUCGGGGGGUUUAUUUGCGUUCACAUCAUAAAAAAUGCCACUACGAUCGGACCCCUUACCCAAGGGUUUCUCUAAGAACAAAUUUUGCCGUCAAGGAGGGGCAAAAUUCAAAAUUUCCAAUUGUAUGACAGGAAAGAAUAAAGGACUUGAAAAGUCUCCAAGUAACCGAGUCAGAAAACUUGUCUAAUAUUGAUGUUGAUCCUUGAAGAUCUAACAUAAUCAAGGAAAGGAAAAGAAUCUUCUCUUGAAAAUUGUGAUUCCAAAUCAACUAUUUCAGCACUUUCUGUGUCAGUGAAGAUCCUAGGAACACCUGCAGAAUAAGCAACUGAUUCAGCAGGGGAAUGCUUCAAAAGACCAAUAAACACUGUAAACUCUCUGGAGAAGAGUGCAUCAACUGACUCUUUACAUUUAAGAGGAGACGCACUCAAGCACCAAAAUUUGAAGUAUGAAGUUACCACAUUUAAAGAAAAAAAAUGUAAGAUGAGACUGCAAUUGACAUGGUAAUUGCUGUUCACCUGAAAACCGAAGGUAAAACAGACAAGAAUAGCACUGAAAAGUCAGAAGAAUUGGGAUGAUAAAAAGCGGGCAUAACCUUAUACUUGCAAGUCAUCAAUGAAUCCUCAUCCAUGAAAGAGACUACACACUCCCUCCCAUUUCCCACUCAAACAGCGAAUUAUAAGACAAUCUUUAUGCAGGUGCCUUUUGAAACCAGUCACAACAAAAACACCAGAAGUCAAUCUACAAGUAUUGCUUCCAUCACGACAGUAACAAGUGUGAUAAAUUUGGUCAUGAAAAUGAUAACAGCAACACCCAAGAAGACUCUUGAAGAUAUCUGCCCUAAUUCCAUAAACACGAAGCAUAAGAUGAUAGACUCCACCAGAUGAAUCUCAUGAUUAAUGAAAAUGAAUCCUCCUGAGGUAAUUUAAGGAGCUUUGAGGCAAGCAGAACAAUUGGUCCAUGUAGUUCAGGAUUUACAGGACCUCAGCCCAUUGAGCUGAGGAUUCUCUCAAAAGUAGUGAACUUCAAAUGGUCAGAUCAAGGAAACAAAAUAAUGGGAGUCACCAAAAUAUGUGGACAAUCUUCAUUUAUGACUAACUAACCUAAUUAUUAUGUGUGGCAAAAUUUGACAACUUGAAAGACAAUAUCAAGCAUUACUCAAGAGUUUAUGUAUAUCAAUUAUAAGAAAAGCAAAAGAGAAACGUAUGGAUCUUGUAUGAAAAAAAAAAUUCCAAUAUUCACAACCAACAAAGAAGAAUGCAUAACAGAAGCUGUAUGCUUUUCACUACCAUGAAAGCACUCCCUCGCUUCUCCAGCCAUAAGUACAACAUCGCCACUUCUAAGGAACAUUGCAAGUGGUGGAUCCUCCCUAGACUUUCCCCCAAGAAGAAAAAUAGCUUUGCAACCCAAGCUGAAAGAGAAAAAUUGAUUGUUAGGUACUAACAUUUUAGCAUUCUCACAUCCAGAUUAAACAAAGAAAAAGAAUAAUUUCAAAAAUGAACAAAACAAAAGCAUAAAACCUUAUGCUGACAAUCGGUUUACUCCAAUCUUUUUCCAUGUCAUCGAGGUGCCCACCCAGCAUAUCUCCUGUAGAGUAUGGAAAAGCUAUUGUUAAUGGUUGAACAAGAUAGAUUUUUGUAGUAUAAGGUUAUACAAAGAGAGUGAUAAAGUACAUGCUUAAGUACGGUAAGAAUAGAUAUAUCACACAAGAUCUAGGUCAGACUUGUGCUGCAGUAUACCCAUUUAUGAGCAGACGACAAGGAAGCCCUCAGGAAACUGAUGAAUUCAUAAUACCUAGAGCAAAGUAGUUCACUAUUGCAGCUUCUGGCUGGAAAUCUUGACCAGGAGGCAUUGCAGGCUUGGCCAACCUUUUAGCAAGGCAACAAAGAGCCUCAGGUAUCUUAAUGUGAGGGAGGGAAACAUUAUAGCUCCUCUAGAACAUAAAACAAACCAAAAGGAAACAAGAAAUCAGCAAUUAGAGUGCUAAAGAAAAGGUGAGGCUCAAUUGUCCAUGAGUAGUCAAUAGACAAGUUACAUGCAAUUGUGAAACGGUUAAGCAAUUCAAAAUCAUCACCUAUAUGCAAGAGAUGCUAUUUCAAAAUCAACAAUCUAGAUGAGAAACUGCAUAGAGAAAACCAAAAUAAUUAGCCUCACAUGUCUACAGUUCUUAUACAUCUCCCCCUCCCUUUUUCAUUUGGUAAGUGGUCAUACACUUACAGAUACUGCCUCAAGUAAUAAUAUCAUAUAGUAGAAAACUACAGGACAUUCUUUUCUCUAGUUUCUCGUUUUCAUGUUCUUUGCUCAUAAUAAAAAAAAAAUUAUGCUCAAGCAAAAAACAUAAGCAAGCCAAAUGAAGUCAACCAUAUUUAAGACAAAUGACACAAGCAAACAGAAAAGUUAAACUUAAAUGACUUGUUUGGGAAAAAAGAUCUCUAAGGCCUUGUACAAUUGAAAAACUAUUCAGGACAUCAAAUUGAGGGACAGCUCGAAUGACGGGUAUAAAACCUCUUUACAGGAGCAAAGAGUAUCAGAACACAUGAUGAUGUCCCGCUAUGAGCAUCACAGAAAACUAACUACACCCAGGAAAUCUGAACAUAUGCAAGUUAUCUAAGAAAAAAUCCACGCCAAACCUGAAGCUAUGACCAACAUUCUGCUUUGAGAAUAGACUUAGCAGACACUGAUUGCCAAGUUUCAAAGAAACAGCGAAAACCAUACAAGUCCAUGUACAAGAACACAAUGGGGAGAAGAAAGCAAAUGGACCUUAGACCAGUCAAAUUGCAGGCCAAGAGUGCACCAACGCAACUUCCGCAGCAAGACAGAGGCAGACACUGAUUUACAUGCAUCUCCUCUGCAUGAUUUAUCUAACUCGCCAGAGAAUUUCCACCUCGGAGUAAUUUGGGCAUCAUGCACAGAAUCAAUCUCGGAAACUAUAUCCCUUGGCUGCUCAAUUUCAACCAAGACCCUUUCUUCUUUGGCAGCAGCAAACAAGUUCUCUAGAGGCCCGUAAAUAGCAUUAUGAUUCGUCCUGUUAGGUGGGUGAGGAAAACUUGCUAAACUCUCUCUUAUCCACUGGCAUUGCUCCUCAACGCUCAAAGCUCCCGGAAUGAAGUAAAACCCUGAAUAUAUAAGCAGCAGCUCAGAGCAUCUUUCAACCAUCAGAGGCACACAACAACAAUACAGACUACAGAGAGUGUCACUUCACGAAGAUCCUUCAUGAAAGAAAUUUGCAUACCAGGCCGACUAUCCAAGCCGAAUACAGGCGUGCCGAAACUGGAUGUAAGCUUGAAAACUCCAGCUGGAAGUUCAUUAUUCUGAUUAUAGGAUUCUAAAAUACACUUGAAAUCAAUGACCUCCGACAAAUCUACCGCUCUCGGCUUCUUUUUCCUAAAUUCGAGGAACGUAAACACAAAUGCUCGAGAAUUUUUCAGCAAACCAGAGGAAAGAAAAUUCGAUGAAAUGAUAAUCUAAAGUGGAAUUAAUACCUCUUGUUGUUAGUAUUAUCGUAGUAAAGUUUGUAUUUCUUUUCUGCUUUCCUGAAAGCUGUACGCUCCGAAUCGUCGACGGCUUUAUCCGACCCGUACAUAUUUCAGUGCCCUGCUAGUGCGACCUCCCUAGCUUUCGAAAUUCGAAUUGGCUGAUGGAUGCUAUUGCUCGCCCAAAACAAAGAAAAUUGCUCUAAAAAGAUUUGGAAUUAGAUUGAAAAGAAAGAAAUAACUACUACUACUCCUCGUCCAAAAAUUAGGUCCCCUUUGGUAAAUUAGGUCUGCUGCUUAAGCGGAUCAGCCAAAAAAUAGAAAAAAUGAUUUCCGCUUUGGUAAAUUGGUGAUCAGCUGUACCUCAGAGUGCCAUGCGGCGAAGGUUUGCAGUUGGCCAAGUUACAGACUUGCAGGCCAACACUCCCGUUCCGAAUGUUUUACCCAUCUUGCCCUUCAAGAUAAAGGAAUGUAGGACUCUAUUUUUUUUUUUUUUUUUUUUUGGGUAAUAGAAACUAUAGGAAGGGUACAAAGUGCAGUUUAAGAUUAAGAAGACGUAAUGGAAUACAGCCUAUAAUUUAUACUUUUAAAGUGAAAAACUUUUUCUUCUUUCUCUUACAUUUUAAUUUGCACACACGAAUCAUUCAAAUUAAUAUAUUUCUAAUCAAGCAAUCAUGAACAACAUCUUCUAAACGAGAGGAAAAUAGAUUGUAAUAAAAUAUUUAAUUGAGAAAUUGAAUAUCACUUUGUCUUUAUACGUUUUAUUGUUAUUAGAAAUACAUAAUAAUUCAAAAUGAUACGCUACCAUGAUAUUGAACUUCAAAUUUUAUAUUAUAUAUCAUAUAUUACUAUCUAUAUAUUAUUACAAACAAAAAAUCAAUUUAGAUUUGAAGCGAAUACUUAAGGGUUACUUUUUUACAUACCAUUUGUUUUCAAUACAUUUUAUUAUUGACGAUCAAAUAUUUUUUAUUAAAGUUAAAGUUAGGCAACUUUUAAUUGCAGUAUUUUAGUAUUCCAAAAUCUCAAAUUCUAGUAUGAACUACAUGUUACUCACAAAAUUAAAAAAAAAAAAAAAAAAAAAGGCCCCACACACAACAAUAACAAGGGCAGCUUUGUCUUUUAGAGACGGAGGACAGUGAUGCGCAGCCACGUUGCGAACUGAAAAUAAAAAUCAGCAUCCUAAUAAAAUAAACCGUUUCAUAAUGCUUGUGGCAUAGAAGAAAGAAUCGCCUCAUUUUUCCCUUAAUCUCGGGAACUUUUCAGAUUGAGGCACACAUAAAUCAGCAAAUCCGAAAAAAUAAUAAUAAUAACGACCGGAAGAAUUCAGUCAAAUUUGGAAAUGGCGUGCAGGACUGUGUUCAGAACUGUAUUGACAGAAGCAUGGCGACCUUUGCCUGGAAAAUUAACAUCUUUUUCCUUUCCAGCCCAAAAAAUUCCAACGACUAAUUUGAGAUGUGGCUGUAAUGUUCCCAAGACUCGAAAUUUAUGCAUUGGGAGGAGAACCCGUCAUCCCAAUUGCUCCGAUAAUGGAAACCCGUCACCUUCAUCUGCAGAUGACCAAGACCAAGACCCCCCUCAAGAAGCUGUUCUCAAGGCUAUUUCAGGUACAGCUAUGAACUUCCUUCUUGUUCCCCCGAUAGUCAUGUCCUUUUUAGAUUAUCGUAUUUAGUGGGCAAAUUUUCCAUGGUGAUUUAUCCAUGUGAAACUGUAAGUGAUAUUAUUGUUGUGCAAUAAAGAUCAAAAUUUGCGUAUUACGAGCUAAGCUGAGCCUUGUUAUGGAGAGUAGCAUGUGUGUUCAAUCUGAGAGCUUUUAUUGAACACCAUAUCUGGCUAGAGAAUAUAGUCAUGAAUAUAUGUUUGUAUGUGUGUUGUGGGAGUUGUUAAUUGGGAUAUUAUCUGGAGGGUCUACAACUUUCAUUGUCUUAUAAGCAUAGGAAAAAAUGUGCUCCCCUUUGCUUGGGAUGGUGUUUAAGGACCGGCCUUCACUUCAAUUUGCAGUUUGCCUCAAUAUCGUUUUCACGUAUAAUAAUGAAUCAUUUACUGUAAGACUGAAGCGGGCUUUCCCUAUACGAGCUGAGUGCUUCUUUAGAUAAGUUUUUAGGGGACUGGUAGGCUUUCCUAUUUUACUCAAUUCUCAACUGCACUUUCCUCCACUUACCGAAAUCCCAAGGCAUUAUUGAAUACCUACAAGUUGUUAGAAGAUUACAUAGUGUGUGAAGAAUAUCUUGCUAAGUUUCAUCCAAUUCUAUUCAGAAGUUUCGAGGGCAGAAGGGAGGGUAGGACAAACGACAAAUGUGGUCAUUGGAGGUACAGUAACAGAUGAUUCAACUAAUGAGUGGCUUGCUCUGGAUAAGAAGGUAUGUUAACCUGAGUGCUCUUCUCAUGUACUGUAUCAACUUGUGCAUUUGAGUUGCAAAAGAUAAAUUUUCUCAAUUUUCGAUGAAUACCUUUCCAACAAGCUGAUGGAUUUUAGCUAAGAUACAAGUCCAUUAAGCUCAUUCUUAAGUAAUGCAAGGAUUUUUAGAUGUAGACAGUAGAGGAUUUGUAGUUUCACUAGCUUUUUUUCUAACAUAAAGAAUUUUAAAAUGCUUGGCCAUUGAUGCUCAUUGAACUUGAAAAUUAGGUUCAGCGCUGGUAUCCUGCUUGUGGCUAUUUCUGGAGAUGAGCAUGAUGCUAUUUUCCUACUUUACAGGUGAAUUCCUACCCAACUGUCCGAGGGUUCACAGCUAUUGGAACUGGAGGUGAUGAUUUUGUACAGGCUAUGGUUGUUGCUGUAGAAUCAGUAAUUCAACAGCCAAUACCUGAGGUAAUAGAAUGUUUCAUCUGCUAGACAUCAUAUAGCAUGAGGUUCUGUGGUUAUCUAUUCAAGCUUUGUGUUUAGGAUGAGGAGCAGACAUGAAUACUGUGGCUUACAGUAGCUGGAUUAUGCUGCAAAUGGCAUUUUAAUGGUUUGAAUGGAAAACCAAUUUAAGACAAUCGUGAGGAUACCGUUUAAAAUCGUUGACUGAAAUCUGCAUACUGUUUUAUGAACUGCAUCUAAUGUGCAGUGGGUUCAACUCCUCCCAUAGUCCAAUUUGAUGAAGGACAUUAUUUGCUCGACUUCAGUAAUUAUUGUGUCAUGUUCAAAGUAUGAAGACAAUGAUCUAUACGAUAAGUGAUAAAAAUACUAUUCAUUUAAUUUGAAACUUUACUAAUUUUAUUCUUUUCUUGGUGUAUCAAAAUGUGUCUUCUUCUAUUUGAAUGUUUGAUGGAUUUGGAGUCAGGUUUUGGCAGACAUAACUUGAUAAAUCAGAGCCUGGGUUGGUUCUUCAUAUAUUCAACAAAAUCAGAACAUUGAAAAAAGGGUCCCAUAUGGUUGAAUGGAUAUGCUUGCUUGCACUACUCGUGCAAAAUUUCUAGUAAAGAGAUGUAAUUCUUGAAAUACUCUGAGGGAAUUGCACUUUAAGCUUUGAUUUUUCCUAAUUUGAGGUUGGCACAAAUGUGAGAAGGUUAGGUAGCAUCCUGUAAGCUGAAUAGCUGAAAUGCUUAUUUCAUGCUUAAAGUGGUGUGCCAUCUCUUUGCUUAUCAAAAUUGAUAAACUGUCUACCAUAUGAUUAAAUUUUGAGUGUUAGGAGGUGUGUGUUGGCAAUCUGAGCUGUUGAUUUUUUUAGACUGUUGCAGCUGGCGCAUUACUCACAAGUUAGUGAAGUAUUACCUAUUACCUCUGAUGAUGCCAUUUUUCUCAUUAUAUGUAUGUCUGCAGUGAUUCUGUUUCCUGUGAUUUUCCUGUUCUGACUAGAAGGUGAUUGUACUAUGGUAUGAGAACCUGGAAGCUUAAGAAUAGAAAAGUAACAAGAAGUAUGAAAGGUGGUUUGCAAUUUUUUCAACUCAUAAAAUUACUCUGAACUUGCAUGCUGAAGUAUAAGAGAGAUUAGGAUGGUGUUUCUCUAACUGAACAAGGUCUUGAAUAUGGUUGAAGGGUCUGCUGAAAAAUUAUGAAAAUUUUAUACUACUACUUGUUUAUCUGGGAAUAAGCUCAUUAGAUGUUAGUCCCGAAAUAUCUGGUUGCCAAAAAAUAACUAAAGUGACUGUAUGAAGGGAGAGAAUCAGAUAUUUAUGCAGAAUUUGGUUCACUUUUAAAGAUCUCGCGGAAUGUUUGAUAGAAAAAUUUAUUUUUCUUAGUUACGUUGAUUUUUUUUGGUUUUGAGAUGAACCUUUUCAAAAGUAAUGAGACACACUAACUAAAUUAUAAGUACACUAGGUCCUUGGUACAAUGUUUACUUAGUCAUUUCUGCUUUGUGACAUGGAUAAUUAAUUUCUGCUAGUACAUAUUCUUCGGAUCUUGUAUAAAAUGAACCCUUCCAUGUAUGCCUUAAUGUGCCAGUUCUUUCUUUCUCUUUACUGUUAUUUGUUCAUUUUGCACUUUGGCCUUUGGAAUUUGACUGCAAGCUAGAUUUCAAGAUUAGCAAAAUCAAAUAAACGAAAGGUAAAGGCAAAGAAAUGCUUAUUACUGUUUAAGUUUAGCUGUCAGAUGUCAGAAUUAAUCAUCUUUCCCAAGUGCAAUAUCCUUUCCUUUCUGCUGUUUUUUUUUUUUUUCUAUUUUUGGUUUCAAUUAGAAGGUAGGACUUUUGUUUUAUUUUGAGAGUUUUCAAAAGGAUAGUCCAGCAUUUCCAUUCUUCUUUGGUAGUUUUUUGGGCUAGUUUUCCGUCUUUCUUGUGAAGCCCCUUACAAUGACUACCAAUUUAUUUUGUUCGAUUAGAAGGCAUUAGGCCAAAAUAACCAAGAUUGAGUAAUCUUUUUUUUUUUUUUAAAUGCUUGGACUGUGAACUUUCCACAUGCUUUUACUUUUUAACAAAGAAUUUUGCUAAAAUUUUCUGGUUAUUUCUUGUUAUCAACUGUUUCUGCCUGCUGCAUCCAGGGUCAGGUGAAGCAGAAACUAUCCUCUAGAGGCAAAUACGUGUCGGUAAAUAUUGGACCUGUCCAAGUUGUUUCAAGUGAGCAGGUCACUCUCUCUCUCUCUCUUUAUCUACCAACAUACAUAAAUACGUACGUAUGUAUGUGUGCAUGCGCAGCAUAUGUGUUUAAAUUUUCUUUGUGCAGUGAAAUAAACUAUUCUUUGAUUCAAAAAUGUUGGUGGAUACACCUUCUUGCUGUGUCUGAGCAAUGAGGAUUGGUCAAUGACUUUGAAGGCUUUCAGACGCGUAGGUUUUUUUUUUUUUUGGGUUAUUGUAGAUGUAGAAUCUAGUAACUUCGUAAUGGUUAAUCAACUGGUAUGUGUACUCUACUGCCUGAAAAAAGCACAUGUUGCUUUGUACUCUUAAUAAUCAACAGCAGUUGGCUAAAGAAAGAACCUGGCAGUUGUUAUUUGCGAUGAUAUGUGUAAUGUUACGUGCUCACGCACUAAUCAGCGACAUGACUUGAUUCGAUUUGAUUGUGCAUCCAGGUCCAAGCUGUAUACAACGCCAUGAGGAGAGAUGACAGGAUGAAAUACUUUUUGUAGAUUGGAUUCAAAUUAACCUCUGUAUCGCGUAUAGUGCACUAAUUCUCUCAUUAAUCUCUACCUUCGCCCUUAUUUUUCCUUUCCAUGCUGAUUAUUGCUCGGCUUACAGAAAUGGAAUCAUUUGGUCCAUAAGAUGUAAAAUUGAUAAACAGAACCCAAAUUUUGGAUUGAAGUCGCGUGUUUAAGAACAUGAAAAAAAAAAAAAAAAUUGGGUAAAAGGAACAAGAAAAGAUCAAAGAAGUCGGGUGUGCGAGGUGCUUGAAACUUCUUCAGUAUUGGCGUCUGGUUUUUGGCGUUCUGAUGAUAAAAGCAUGCAUGCUCAAUUUAAUAUUGUAUUCUUCUUCUUCCCAAGCGUUUGUGAAACGACAAUUUGGCAUGGCAUGCAAGAGUAGUAAAUGCGUCGCGGUCAAAAUUGUCAUUUUGGUGUAAAGGUGCUUCGCUUUCGUGGUGGUCUUCACAUAAAUAUCAUAAGGCAAGGCACGAAAAUCUAAUUAAUGGCCCAGAUUUACCUUUUCUUUUCUUUUUUUUUUCUUUUGGCUUUUCUUGAGACCUGAAGACGGGACAGCAGAUAUGAAGUUUCAGAAUGGCAUCCGAACCAACAAGUCCAUUGCCAUUUCUUUCUUCUUUUUUUUUUAAUAAUAUAGUUUUCGUGAUAAGUCUAAUAUAAUAGUGAUAGUAGUAUAAAUUAUCCAAUUGAUAAUAUUAAUGUUGUUUUUUUUUUAAUUGCCAAAUCUGGUUCAUGCAAAGCGACCUGGAAAAUUGUCGUCAGCAUCAAAAGAUUCCGACCUGCUCCCACCAAGUAGGACCUGUCCAUCGUUAUGCCUGCUAACGUAUUGAAAUGCUCCAAUGGUCACUAUCGCUUCAAUGUUAAUUUAUUGUUGGUCGCUUAUCUUCUUCAAUAUGAAAUUAAUUUCCCUAUUAUUAUAUGUAAAUUGGUGGAGAAUUUUGGCGCCUGGUCUAGAUCAAUGAUUUGUGAUGAAUUCGAUCCUUUUUUUUUUUUUUUUAUUCUAAUCCGUCCAUUCAAGCAUGACUAGAUUCAUACUUACGAAGGUCUAAUUCUGCGAACAUUGCAAAAGUACCUUCACCAUUCAAUCCCAAUUGUCAAAAAAGAAGGGUGCAUCAAAUAAUCGUUUAAUUUGUCUUGCUUGCAUUAGUUUGGUUUAAAAACAAAAAUGAGAUGAUGCAAGGAAAUCAUUUUUUGAGCUUGAAAGAAAUGUAAAGCAGAGGUUUGAUCUCUUAAAGAUGUCAACUCUUAGUUGCGAAGGAUGAUCUUAAAUCUUAUGUAAUCUGAUGUGCCAAGACUCUUAGUGGUUUGGCUCAUUCUUAGCAAUAAUUUGUGAACAAAACACUAAACAAAUUUAACGUUCAAUCACUGUUUCAUGUACAUUUCCAAGUCAUGUGGUCACUGUUGUCGUCAGUGUCGGCUUUUCUCUAUUUGUCGCGUGCUCUGUGAAUAUCAUUAGGACCAAUUGAGCAUCAGGUGAUGUCUGUGCAGAGAUAAAAACUUGUUGGUUAUUUUGCUUCCCUUCCUUUUCUUCCCUGUUAUUAACUUCCUUUUGAUUUUCUAAUGCAUGUUGAGCAAAUUAAACAUGGGAAGCUUUGAAGAUCAGGGAACUCCAUGUCGUUUAAGUGGAGAGUACAAGGUAGAAUUACUUCUUUCUCAUUUUCCAAAACAAACUUUCAAAAAAUUGUUUGGAUUCUGAUUCAUAGAUUGUUUUGUACAAUGCUAUAGGAUGUGUUAGACAAUGAAUUUGGAGAAACAAGGUCACCAAAUCAAAGCAGACCAGCCAGCAUGGUGAUCAAGGCAAGUUAAGGGCUUAUUCUUUCUUUCCAUAUUCCAUAUAGAUUAAGUGCUUUUCCCGGGGUUUUAUUGUUAGAUGUUCCGGUGUUGGAUUCUCACUUUGAUAAAAUGAUGAUUCUUGAUUGUGCGUCCAAUGAUAAAACAGAAAGCACAUGCAGUAAUUCCAGCUCACUUGGUAGCCGAAGCAAUUUCCACACUCCAUGGCCUUGAUCUAAGAUGGUCAGGACCAAUUACGCCCAGCGAAAUGCAAUAUGUACAGCAAUAUGUCUUUGCAAAGUAUCCUGAGUACUCCAAUGGCCUCGUGGAAGAAGGAGACGAGAUUGAUCCGUACAAAAUCUGCGUCAACGAAGAGUCUUCAGAGAACAUGCUUGAGGACGGCAGGGGAAAGUCCCCCAAGAACAUCGGCGCAAGGGACUCAUCUUCGCCUUCUUUUGGCAGUUCUACCACUGAUUUGGACAGAAAGCAACUGGAGCCCUCAAGAUUACUUGACAUCCUCAACAAGAAGACUUCUCUUCAGGGGAAUUUUAUUUCAAUCCCUGAAAUACAAGUUCGUAAUCGAGCCUUGCAGCAGUGUGGGCUAAAAGAAGAAGAAUACUUGGUUCUUUUCGCUCCUACCGUCAAAGAAGCCACCAUGCUGAUAGGAGAGUCGUACCCUUUCUUCAGAGGGAACUACUAUAUGACCAUCCUUGGAGAAGAAACUGAUUCCAUAAGGACAUAUGUCGCAUCCAAGGACUCUAAGACUAUCGCAGCACCAGAGACUUGGUUGGACUUGAGGAUUAAGGGUUCACAGCUUAGCCAGUACUUCAGGAGAAAGUGCAAAUACAAUCCAAAAGGUCUUUUUGCUUACCCUGCUUAUGUUAACGACACCCGUCACUCGAUGCAUUGGAUCUCGGAAGCACAUAGGAAUUCUUGGCAUGUACUUUUUGAUGCAACUGCAUUGGAUUUUGGGAAAGAUCGGCUAACCCUUGCGCUACACAGGCCUGAUUUUGUGUUAUGUACAGUUGAGAGUACACAUCCUCAGCCGUCCAGAAUCACUUGCCUCUUAGUAAGAAGAAAAUCAUUCGACACCUCAGCACCUUCAGCUUAGCAGCAGCUCCUGGAUGACUUUUUGUAAGUGGUGCGAGGAAGAAACCAGCUGUGUACCAUUUUACUUAUUUCCGAGAACGAGGAGUCGUUGUAAAAUGAUUAGACUAUCCGCUCUUUCUAUGAGGGGCGAAACAAAGAGCAGUUUCUUGUUAUCAUUGCCUGCCUUAUUUCCAGAUGCGUUAAAUAAACAGUUGCUUGCAACAUAAACAGUUUCUUGUUAUGUUAUCCCAUGAAUCCAGAGGUCCUUCAAACUUUGAGACCGUGAUGAUCAAUCCCUUUUUUGAGUUGUUAUCAAGUUCCUCGUAGUUAUAUAUACAUGAUCCCUGCUGUCUUGAAACCAUGAUCUAAUUUGUGAACAGCAGUCCCCUUGUUUUGUAGGAUUACCAAAGUCCAAAAAUGCUUGAGCUCGUCAUGACUGCCAAAAGGGGCAGAUCGAGGUGCACAAACAGCGGGAUUUGGUAUUGGAGCAGCGUAUUGGUUCAAGCUAUUGGAAAGUAUUGCGGCGCCCAUUCUGAAUAUUCAAUUCCCGUCCCAGUAACUUCCCCUCCGGAUCAUGCAGCUUAUUGGCUGUCACGUUCUUUAGAGUCAGUCCACGUUACGUGUAAUAAGCAUGGUUCAAGGUCGCGGUCGCGGUCUGGACCGUUCUACAUCAAUGUGAAUUUUUGAAAUAUUUAAUAUUUAAAAAAUUAUAAAAAAAUAUGAUAAAUAAAAAUAAUUUAAAAAUUAGUAAAAAUAAUAAAAUUUUAAGUUGACUCGGAAUGACUCGAAGUGACUCGGUAUGACUCGACCAUUUCAACUCUUCACGGUGACGUCUCGACGAGUUAAGUAUCUCGGUAUCGUUUCGUCGCAGUCUCGUCUCGGACUAGACCGAGACGGUGAUGACUCGACCGAGUCUUCGAACCAUAGUUGUAAGACAUAUUUUCAAUAGUACCCGAUAAGAUCGUUGUUCGCUAGAAAAAACUCCCAUCAUAGACAUGGUUCAAAGCCAUGGUAGCGGUUGCGAUCAUGGCCCGAACCAUUUCACAUCGAUCUCGAUAUAUUAAUCGCGAUUUUGGCGAGACGCAAAAUUUUGAAAUAUUUAAUAUUCUAAAAAUUAUUUAAAAAUGAUAAUUAAAAAUAAUUAAAAAAUUAGCAAAAAUAAUAAAAUUCGAGUUGAUUCGGAACGACUCGACUGUUUCUAUCCAUUUUGAAAAUGUCUCAGUCGAAUUUUCAGCGAUUUAUUAUUUUGAAAUCAUCUCGUCCCGAUCGACCAAAUCGUAUCAGUCUCAGCUGAGUCUUUGAAACAUUCAGAGAGGGAGAACCAAAACGUGCGCUUUGCUUUCACAGGCUGUAUUCUCUUACUGACAUUUUAUGUCUGAACUUUAAAGUAUAAUGUUGUACGGUCUACCAGCACAUUUAAUAUGCGAACUUCCUCGAUCACUCAGUGGAUUAGUAUUUCCGCAUUGGACUUUGACUUUAAGCAACCCUGAUACGCUUGUAAGAUUUGGACAAAUAAACCCUUUUUCCUUUCUCUUCUUUUGUUUUUCCUCUACCAUGUACUCCAAUUUUUUGGGAAUUUUGUGCUGCAGCUGCCCCGACUCUGGACCAAAAGCAGUAAAACCUUGGAACCUGUAUCUUAUAUUUUAGUAAAUGCUCUGGCACCAAGAAGACAAUUAGCACCUAUGAAACCAAAUUAUUUUGACUUGGACUACAGAAUUUUCCAUUCGUCUUCCUCUAAAAACAUAACAAAUUUUCAAUCUCUUCGGAGUUCUUAAUCACAGAGCAGAAACAACCUAACAAAAGAUGGUUUUUACGAGCGGCUUAUUCAGGUACAUAGGCAUAUUAAAGUUAAAAGUGGUGAACAACUGGUGAAGGCAGCAAUUUUGCACGCUUAUAAAGCGUUGAUCAGCAGCAAGGCCACUGGUCUCUGUCUAGCAGGAACAAGUCGCUGUAUUGCAGCUAUAUUUUAUUUAAUGACACUUUGCCCCUAGAACCGGUGCCUUAUCUCAAAUUUAUUGCGUCAGAUCAAAAUAUGCAUCACGUUUUUGAAUAGUCGAAAAUGAUCAUCUCGCGACAAGCAAAUUGAAAGCUACUCCGACAGAAAUUGCCACAAAUUUCUACGUGUUCUUGUAUCCCUUUCGAAUUUUUCCUUCGGAUGGUCAAUAGUUUCGAAAAUUUUGAUGAGUUCCAAUUUCCAGCUAAACCAACACCAUCCUUGAUUCCUCUCUCUCUCUCUCUCCCUCUCUCUCUCUCUAUUUUUUUUUAAGCUAUUCAAACCAAAACUAUUCUUAGUCGUUGUAUAAUGUUUUUAAACUCGCACCGGAGAGUGAAUCAGAAAACCUUCCGAUUUGCAAUUCAAUUAGUUCAACCCCGAUUCAAAGGUUUAAUAAAUUUUUAAUUUAUUUUAGUAUUAAAAAUUUUGAAUCAAACUAAAAUAUUUAGGUUAGAAAAUAAAAACUUAAUAAAAAUUGGUUGAACCUCCCAGUUUUUACCGGUUCAACCGAUUCUUAAUCGAGUUUAACCGAUUCAAUAAAUUCUUUGAAUUUUUUUUAUUGAAUUUGACUGGAAACAUGGUCGAUUCGAGGUUCAACCGAUUGAACCGAUCAAUCCAAUCCAAUAUUCAAAACAUUGCACAUAUAGAUGAGGACUACUAGGGACUUUUCAUAGAUACAAUCCGAGAUUACAAACUAUUCUUGUUGUAUCUUAGAGUAGAAGACAUGUACUAAGGGUGCUGUCAAGUUGAGUUAACCUCAAGUAGCACCAUACUCAAGAUCGAACUCAAAAAGUAUAAGUACUACUCGAGUUCAAACUCGAAUUCGAAUAAGUCAGGGAGCCCAAACUUAAACUUGACUCGAUAAGGAUUCAGAAACAAUGCCGAGUCUUAUCGAACUCGAAAAACUCGACUCAAGAUCAAACACUAAGUUCAAAAAAUGUCAAGCAUAUAUUAGUCAUUUCGUGUAUGUGUGCAUGUGUAUGUAUUAUCAUAAUUUAUGUUUUAAUUAUUUAAUACAAUACUUGACAGUACUUUCAAUACAGCAUCACCCCUAACGUGUACUGUAAGCCUUUGUCCACCUAUUUGAGGUUGGACUUUAUUUCACUCUAUCAUUUCGACAGUUAAUAGCAGGAGGUGCAGUCGACAAAAAUUACAACUAAGAGUAGCUUCUUAUACAAGACCGAGUGACGUCAUGUUUUUACAAAUUAUUACCUCAACAAGAUUCAUCUUGAGAUAUGCAUCCCUGUUUGGAUUGUCAUUUUCUGCCGAAAAAUUGCGUCAUUUUUUGUGAUCACAUUUUCCUAUUACCUUUUUCCCUCACAUAUAUCAAAUCGCUACAGUAAUUUUUUCAUGGAAAGUCAUGGAAAAUGCAAUCCAAACGGGGCAAUUGGAUAGGAGAUUAUUUGAAAUAAUUGCUGUAACAUUUUUUGUGAUGUGAUACAUGUGAAAUAAAAUUGUAAUUAAAAAUUGUGUGUAUGAUGCAAGCAAAACAAAAUUUGAAUUUUUUUCUUGAAAAUCAUGUUAUCCAAACACGCCCAAUUCUAUAAAAUGUCAAUAUUGAAAUGAUACACUAAUACAGGUGACUUGUACGCCAUAAAUGCACUUGAGGGCACUUGAGGGAAAAUGACAAUAGCAUCUAUUUAAGUUUAAGGGAUAAUUUCAAAAACCUACCCUGAGGUUUUCGACAAUUUCACUCGACUCCUUGGAGGUUUACAUAAUUACAAAAACCUCCUUUGGCGUGAUAAAAAGGCAAGAAUGCCCUUCAUUAAUUGUCAACUCAUUGAAAAACUCUAUCAAAUAUUAAAGCUCUCUCAUAUAUUAUCAAACAAUAAUUCAACCUAUCUUUCCCAUUUAACUAUCUAUCAUUUUCUUCUUACAUUUAUUUUCCUUUUAAACUCAUUUUAUUUAUUAUUAUCAACCAAAUGUGUAUCGUCACCAUUAAAAAAAUUACCAUACAUACCAAACCACCAAUGCUUACAUAUCUGGUAUCUAUUUCUCAAUUUUUUAUUAUUAUUAAAUAGUUUCCUUUCCGCCAUUUUUGUUUCUAAUUUUGAUAACCAUUAGCAAAUUGAAAUUGUUCAAUGGCAAAUUGAGUGCUACUUUAUUAACAAAUUAGAUGAAGAUGAAAAUAGUGACAGUGAUAAAAAUAAUAAAAAUUAAGGAUAGGAAGUGAAAAAAGAACUAAAUAUAGGUUAUACUGUUAUAGUUACCAUGAAAAAAAGUGUUAUUGGUAUAUAUUUAUAAUUGUAUUGUGUUUCUAUUUUUGAUUUACAAUUAUUAAUUUUAUUCCUAUAAAGAGAAUUUGAUUUAUUUUGAACUCCGUGCCAAUAGAGUAUAUUGGAUAUUGAUAUUAGUAGUAAUGAUUUAGAUUAUUUUGUAUUAAAAAGGUGGCAGCCAUGGAAUUGAAAUUUAGGAAUAUUGAUGAAUAUUGUUAUAUAUUAAAUAAAAUAUGAUAUUAAUAUGAGAUUUAUAAGUAAACUUUUGGGUAUCUAAUGUAGCGUUUAUAAUUAAUACAAUAGUUUGCAUUAGAAAUUUUUAGGUAAAAAAUGAAUAUUAUAACAAAGAUAAGUGUUUAUUUAAUGAUGUUUUUGAUAUUGAUGGGUAAAUAAUAGUAAUAGCAAGUAAAGAUAAAUGAAAUAGAGACUAUGAACCUUUCUUUUUUCCUUUACAUUUUCGUUGUGAAUCAUAACUUAAGGGCACUAUAGAAAUUUUGAGAAAAAGUAUAGCUUUUUGGGUCUAGAAUGUUUCUUAAAUAGUGAAAAUAGGGGAGGUAGGUGUAAUUUUUAGAACUUGAAGGGAACUUUCUGCUAUUGUCAAAAGCCUCAGGGGAGGUAUGUGAAAUUAACGCUAAGUUUAAUGUUCAAAUAAGCAAAAAACCAAAGCGAUUCUUGAGCUAGAAAAGGUGGAGCAUCGAUCAUUGAAUUGAGGAAGAAAAGCACCUGUGUCAAUGACGAUGCUAUUAGGAUUGAUUUCCAUGUGAAUAUAACGUUGCUUCUUUUUCUUUCUCUCUUUUUUUUUCAGUAAAUUUACCAUCAUACUUCUUACUUCUACUGUUUGGUGUCCUAAGCCUCCCGUCUACCUACCAUAUUACCAACUAAUUAGUCUACUGCGUUAAAACAGCUCAUAAAAUCAGCCCCAAUAUUUGACAUUUUGUGGUUGAACAUUGGUAACUCGGUCAACAAUUAAUUAGUGCUUUAAUUAAUGGAAGAAAAUUUAGCUUCACUUUCAGUCUUAUUAAUCUCCAUCAAGUCUCAAGACUCUCGACAGGCCAUGCAUGACUCACGGCGGAGGAUGUGAUCCGACACUUCUUUAUCGUAAUUUGCGUGAACAAUAACCCCGAUAACAUGCAGUUCCUACUAGAAUCUUAGACGCACGAGCAAGAAGCGAAACACCAAACAGUAAAUGAGAAGAGCCCAAAAGGUCAUUGAACGUGAAUAAGAUGACGAUUUCCACCAGAUUUAAUCACCUUCUCAAAGACCCUUUUUAUUUAAGGAAAAAAAACAAAACAAAACAAAGUAUCAGCACUCGAUACCAUAAGUUCUUCAAAAAUUAAAAAACCAGAUGGGAUAAACAAAAAGUUCGCUAAAUAUCAAUUACUAUAUGUAUUGCAUGCCAAAUCUACAUAUCUAACUUAAUUUGAUUGAGAUUAUCACCACAACUAACUGGUGGAAUUCUUGUUUUAUUAAAUUAUUAGGCGUAAUUAUCCAAUGCGAACUUGAUCCAGUAUAUUCUAGCAAAACUGUGGGUUGGAAUCUGUGGCGGGAGGUAUCUCAAAAUGCCAAAGCCUUCCGACGGACUUGACACGAUUUUUACGACACAGAAACGUUUCUGCAUAAACUUUCUCCACCUUUCGAUCUACGUCGUGCAAGAACACAUGCGUCACUCCCGAUCCCUUCCUAUUCCUUGCCAUAACAGCCGCUGAAUAUAUCGCGGCCAUCCGCCCCGGCGCCUCCGCAAAAUACCCUCUCGGGGCAUCAAUCAUGAUCAGGUCCCACUCCUUGUUAUAAACUUCCCACGGCAACAUAUUCAGCGCCAACUUGCACUUCGUGUUUCCGCGGAGGAACGGUUUCUCAGCAGAACACUCCGGUUGGGACGGGUACUGUUUCAGGAGAUCAUCGGCCUCGGAGAGUUUAGUCCGGUACUUGACCGUGUGGGCACGAAGAUACGGUGCGUCCUUGAGAACUGUGUCGACCCACUUGGGAUCUUCUUCUAGGAAUAACGUUGUACCACCCGGAUUGAGUGAAGCCCACAUGAGGGAAUCGUGGCCGAGUCCGAAGACUAGGAAGUUGCAUGGGGACUUAGCUUUGAGGACGUCAAAGGAAACUCGGAUCUCGUCCAGUGAUUGUUGCGGGACUACGCGAGAUGUGGCGUAGUGGACAAUAGCGUUGCGCUGGAGCGUCUCACCCGAGUAUGAACCUUUUGCCAAGAAGCCCGGCAUGGAUUUGCAGAAAAGGGGAGUCUCCGGUAUGCUUACAUAAGCCGCAAGAAACAGCGCUCCACCAAAUAAGCAGACAACUGUUGUGCCCAGUAACCAUCGCUUCUCAGGACUAAAAUGGCGCUUAAUAGACAUAUUACCAGAUUUUUCCAUGAUCUGUGUUAAUAUAUAUGAACGGAGAAAUUUAGUGUAUAAAAAGAAAGAGCUGAAGAGACGGAUAUAUGCUUCGCAUGGACCUCGCUCUCUACUGUGACUCAGCGAUGUUUGAGCUGUGGAAUUUAGAGUUCGUUUUGGGGUUAAUGACGUUUAAGGCCAUGCGAUUUGUCUAAACUAUUGUUACACCCCUUGAAGGCUUCAAAAUUUGGAAAACUAUUUGACCUCAAAGUCUAACAAAAACGCAUCCAUUAUUAAUCCCCGUACAAAUCUCCAUUACAAGAAGAUUUUUUUUUUUUUUUUUUGCCUUGGGUUUUCUGCCCCACUUUGGUUUUAUAAUCAGUCGUUUACUUUUCUUAAUGAGGGUCGUAUAGCUUAGGUACCAGUGAAAAUAGCACAACUUAAUGUUUGUGCUAAUUAAAAUAGACAGAUGUACGGUAUUGAUGGUGGUGGCUUUAUUAGGCUUGUACAUGUGAUUUUUUUUGUUUCCAGUAGUGGUACUAUCUUGCACUUUGUUGGAGAUGGAAAAGGGAAAGAAAUUAUAGAAAGUGACCCAAAAAAAAAAGUUUGAUUAUCAAGAAAUCGUCGUGUUAAUGUUGAUUUGGCUAAACCAAAAUGUUUGUUCGUAUAAUUUUAAGCGAUGGGUUCACGAAAAAUAAAAUAUCAAAGUCAAUCAACGACAACACGAAAUUGUGGAAAAUUUUUUGGGCGGGUAGACUCUAUAGUCGUAGGCUAGCAACAAGUGAGCAGCUUGCACGUCUUCUACGAUGGAGCCAGGGUGACUCUAGCAGCGGAUGGUUUGACAUGGCCGUAUAGACUCAACUUUGAUGGAUUAAUUCGAGUCUUUGCUCUUAUUUUCUUCCGCGUACUAAAUAUCAGGGAAGUGCAGGGCCUGAAAUUCCUUUUGAAGUUGGCGUUGCCUACUUGAUGUUGAACUAUAAACACAAAACUAGUUAAUAAGAGUAACUAAUUAGAUGGGACCCCUACUUCGUUUGUGCAUGUCGUUGAUAUUUAGGUGACUUGAAGCAUCUUCCUGACAGAUUUGAGCCAAAAAAAGAAACAAACAUAAAGUUCAAAGCGCAAUACCUCCUCCUCGUACGUUUGCUACACCUUAAUUAGAUGUUGUUAAAAUUCAGCCAAUAAUGUUGUCAUCACAAAAGUUUGAUCAAUAAUGACAGAGAUACGGGAGAAGAUAGAGUUGCUGGAGCUUGGAGGGAAAUAAACAUCCAUUCUCCCUAGUGGAUACCUUUACUUGUAAACAAACCUAAUACCACCUCCUUGGUGCAUCUGCAACACCUUAGAUCGAUGUUGCUGAAAUUCAGCCAAUGGUUUUGUUUGAUACCUUUUACAUGUAUCACGUCCAAGUUGUAGAGGCAAAAGAAUGACAAAGAAAUUAAAAACUGCAUCACGUACGGGCAAUUUUACUAGUAAUAUUUGUUAAACAGAAUUCAGAUAUUCUUUCCAUGAGAUCUACAUUUUAGUUAUGACUGCAAAUCUGAGCUUCAAAUAACAAAUAUGAUUCAUCAAAACUAGUAGAUGGAUACUAAAAGAACAUGGUCGUGGUCUAUCAAUUUGCGGGUCGGCUAGCCGAGAAUCUGUGGUUAUGAGUAUAACAAAAUAUGAUCAGCGUAUGGAUCAAUUUAAGAACACGGUCUACGGCUGGCAGUACUGGAAUCACUCUCUAGGUUUAGCUCAGUCGACUAGCACUCGAAUCAAUCUCUAGGUUUAAGAGAAGCGAGUUCAUUCUCCUUUCAUCUAUCUUGUUGUUCCAUUAAUUAGUUAAAUUCCUUAGCAUCGGCCAUCAUCAGAAACAAAGAAAAAAAGUGCGACUCUGGACUCCUAAAUCAGUAACCGGUUCAUUAGUUGUACAAGAGAUAUCGACCUUCUGUUAUCCUAAAAAACGUUUUAAUCAUGUACCGUAAUUUUUUCCAUUUGGUUCACCCGAACAGAUGGGAGGAGUGUAAAAAAAAAAAAUUUUUUUGAAGGAUUGGACUGACUGGAACCUCAAAGAAGACAGAAUUGCAUUGGUAUCUAGCAUGGGCACCUAGGAAUCAAUUCUGCCUUUCAGGUAGCCGAGAGAAGUUGGGGACCGCUGUUAAUGCCAUGCUAGCACAGGCUGAAUUUGCGCAGAAAGCAAUUGGCCGCCAGCAGAGUCAAUCAGCUAAAGAAACUGUAAUGAUAUCUUGGUGUAAACCCCCUGAAGGGUGGGUAAAACUUAACAUGGAUGGAGCUGCAAGUGGCAACCCGGGAAGAGCUGGUGCUGGAGGUUUGUUAAGAAAUGACCAAGAAAGAUGGAUUAAAGGUUUUUCUAUUAGCCCUGGCCUAUCUAGCAAUGUCACGACAGAAUUAUGGGCGAUUUGGUUUGGGAUACAGGAUGCAGGAAUUUUAUUCUUGAUUAGGACUCCAAGGCAAGCUUGACCCCCAUUGAAAUUUGAAAGCGAACAUGCAGACAGCCCCCAUCUAAGCCUAAUCCUGCUGAUCAAAGAAAUGUUGAGACGCGAAUGGAGUUGCUAGGGAAGGGAAUGUUUGUGCUGAUCAUCUGGCCAAAUUGAGUUUGACAACGGAAGUUGAGGCAUGGAUCCUCGUCAGCUCGCCAGAAUCUUUAAGGAGUCUUUUAUCUGAUAAUGUCAUUGGGGUAGCCGACCCAAGGAUGGUUGUUUUGUAAAGGGCCCCGAGCCCUCCUUUUUGACCCAAAAAGGUGGUCCAUCUCAGAUUUCCAAACAAAAGGCUCUUUUUUAUUGUUUCAACAGCAAACCCCCCCCCCCCCCGGGGCUCCUCUGUCAAAAAAAAAAACAAUAAUGGUUCGUGAAGUAUAUGAAUAAAUGUGAAAGUUCAAUCUGAAUACUCUAUGAGUGACUUGAAAAACUUUCGUCUACUUUUCAAGUUUAUAGUGCUGUAAAGUUAAAUUCCUAGCUACAUAGAUUGAACUCGAGGAGAGAAGGGAAGGACUACCACCUAAGUUUUAAAAUAGGCUUUCUCACUAGAAAAUAUGUUAUUACAAACUUUCUGUUUGGAUCGUAUAUUUUUGUUAAAAAAAAAAGUUUAUGUUUUCGGUGAUCAUUGUUUUUAAUCAUCAUUUUAUCUUAUAUAUAUUAAAUUAUUACAGUACAUAUUUUAACAUAAACUUCUAAAAAUAGCCAUCCAAACGGGUGACUAUUUUCUCCGUCAAAAUAAAUUUUGUGGUUAAUCCUAGUUAAUCACCCUUCCAACAACAAAAGAAAAGAAGAAGAUGAAACAAAAUCAAUAAGCUUCUAUUUUCAACAAAAAUCAACAAAAAUUUCAAGCACUCUUCUUCUAAUGUUGCAAAAUAAGAGCCAUGUGGCAAGGGUUCAACCGCCGAAACAAAUGGAUCUAUCAGACAUAGGGAGGCCACUAUUUAGUUAGGCUCUCAUUGUGGGCCACUCUUGUUAGGUAUUCUUAGAAGAACGCUUUACUUGAUUAUGCAACGAGCCAAAGAAAUAGCACAACCUUCUCCUUGAAAAGUGUCUAGGCCUUAAUUUCCAGCCCGUCAAUUGCGCAGCUUCCCGCUUCAACCCAUAUUAGUGGUCUCCCAUGACGCUGAUUGCAGUUUAAGGUCAAAGGUAAUCUGCAGGGCUCUGUUUAGUCUUUAGGAUUAAUCUUUCUUACACUGAUAGUGUAUACGCUAUCAUCGUUGGAUAAAUAAUAAUUAUGCAAAAUUUGAUAGCGUAUACACUAUCAACUUUUGCGCACAUGUCAUGAAUCUAACGAUGAUAGCGUAUACACCGUCAGUGUAGGAAAGAUUUACUCUAACUUUUAACCUACGAUUUUAGUUUACUCGAUACAGAUAGUAGGUUGACAUCCAAAAGUACCAACCUAUAUACUUUUGAAAAGUGAUAUUUGCGCUCUCAAAUUAGCCUUUGGCACUUUUUAGAGGCAUAUUACAAUAUUUAGUGAGUGACUUGAAAUGCAAGAAACUAAAAUGAGAGCGCAAAUAUCAAUCCCAUUUUUUUUCUCCUAAAAAGAAAAAAGAAAAAUUUUCGGAAAUCGCAAAGUACCAUGGGCUGGGUUUGGAAAAGAAAACAAGUACGGGCCUUAAUGUGCUCUAAUAUUCUAAAGGGAUAAUUUCACAAACUUCCACUGAGAUUUUUAAUAAUGACAAAGAGCUCCCCUUAGGUUUUAAAAUUUAUAUAUACCUCCCUUAUUUUUACUGUUUAGUAACGAUAUAGGUCCAAUAAGAUAGAUUUUCUUACAAAAAUCCUAAAUUGCCCUUUUGUACAAAACUAAAAAAGAAAUAUAUAGUAUACUCAAUUAUUUUUUUCUUUACUUUGCACAAAUCAACAAAUCGAAUCCCUAACAACCAUUUAAGCAUAAGUUCUAAAACCAAGUAGUUGUUUAAAAGAUCCCAAAUUGCAUAUAUAGUAUUAAUACUUGUCACGCUAAAAAAAAGAAAAAAAAACACACACACACGCAGACACACAAAACUCCAUUAACAACCAAUUUCAUACCCAAAAAAUUAAAUAGCAAUGCUCAAAUACCUUUUCAAUACAAUUUAAUCUAAUCCAGAACCGCCAUUACAACCCUCAUAUGGCCUUAAAAAUAUUAAUAUCUCAAAAGUAGAGAAUAAAUUCUGCCUCCACAAUAAAAUUGUAAUAAAAAAUUUCUAACCCAAUGAAAGAAAUCCUUUUGCAAUUAUUGACAUUUUAUGAAAUUUUUUUUUGACAACCAACAAAAUAUGACAAAUUUCACAUCUUUAGUUCUUCUUCCUAUUUCAAUCAUCAAUUUCAUUAUUUAUUUAUCUAUUCCUGCGAGUUUCUUCAUUUUCUUCUAAUUUGAUACAUAAUCUGCUCCCUUUGUUGAUUUUGUAAUUUCAAUUUGCUAAUAUCUACAAAAUUGAAGAUAAUAAAAAGAGGUUAUAGUAACUAGAAAAGAGAGGAGCAAAAAUAGACAAGAAAUAGAAAAAUAGAUUUCAUUUUUGGGUUUUGUAAUUGUCUUAAAUUUAAAAUUAUCUACCAAGUGUUGGGCGUUAUAGGUAUUUUAUUAUGUCAAGGGAGGCAAUUGUAAUUUUAUAAACUAGAGGGGAGCCGAGUGAAAUUGUCAGAAGCCUUGAAAUUAUCCCUAAUCUAAAUAGAAAGAGAAUUGCCAUUGAAGAUGUUGGUUGCACUUUUAGCUGUUCCAACCCUUUCAUUCCUUAGCUCUAUGCCACUCAACCCGUCCUUCCCCCCUCCCCCAAUGAUGUUAAAUCAAAACUAAAAAAUAGAUAGUUUCUAUUUUAUUAUUUAGCAAUGCUUUGGUCCAAAAUUUUAGUAGUUUUAUUAGAUUCAAGGUAGCUUUAUUAUAAUUUAUGAAUUAGUAGUACAUUAGAAAAUAUCUUGUAAUUGUCAAUAUUGUUUUACCAAGUUCUAAAGUAUUAUUGUCGUACUCGGUUGAGAUGAGAAGAGUGAAAGUUUAACAGCGUUAUAAUUUUAUGGUGUUAAUAAUAUGAUAAUGUUGGUAUUAUUUAUCUUCUUCCACUGCAUAAAUUGCUUCCACAUGUAUAUUGCUUUUGUGAAAUUUAUUUCCUACAAGUUUAAGGUUAAUUUUUGGUCUCUACAAUAUCAUCAAAGACUGGGAAAGCUUUGUGUUGAAGCCGGUGUAAACCUGCACGCCCAACUCAGCUCAAGCCUCACUUGCCAGCAGUGAAUGGUGAAUCUAAGAGCAGAAUCCAGCAAUGAGUUUGGGAGUUGGGACUGGGGAGUCUGGGACCGGACCGCGGCGUUCAUUAAUUAAGACGGUAGCGUGAACUGGCGGAAAUGGGAACGGGUCUGGCAUUGCCCACGCCGCAGCAAUUGAUUGGAGUAGCAUGCAUAGGUGUGUACCUUGGGCGACAUCUGAAUAGGUCACCGGCAUGCAAUUGCAAUCUGCCCAAUAUCCCGACUGAAAGCUCUUCUCAGCUUGCAAUGCUCAAAGGAUAAUUAACGGUGUCGAAUUCGUCCAACGGUUCUUCAUAAAAUUAGCUGCUCUUUUCUUCUUCUUCUUCUUUUUUUUUUUUGGCUUUGUUAUUGAACGGUGCACGAAUAUUCUAUUUGGACAAAUAUGUCGCAUAUACAAAUACCAUGCGUGUUGAGAAAAAUAUGGGAUAUGCUACCUUGCACGUCAUGAAUCUAAAAGCUUAUUCCAUUUUGUGUUUCUGAGUCACGGGAUAAAAAGUUUUAGGCCAUGCUUGAAUUGCUUGUUUUCGUCAGAAAAUAUUGUCGUUUUUCAUGAUUACAUUUUCCUAUCACCUUUUUUCCUCACAUAUAUCAAAUCGCUACAGUAUUUCUUCCAUAAAAAAUGACGGAAAAUGCAAUCCAAACACAACCUUAAUCUUUUGUUUUUCUUUGCCAAAGUAGGCAAUCUAAAGAGUGAUGAUUAUAGGUAUUCUAUAGUGAGUCCAACUUUCUUUUUAUUAGCAUGCUUAUCUUUUUUCCUUUUUUAAUAAAUGAGAAAUUUUGAAUCCAGAUUCUCCUAUUUAUAAUUCUUCCCCUCUCCCACUAACUCAAUCAUCCCCUUCCCCCCCCCCCCGCUCCCACUAAUAUGCUUAUCUUGUGUCAUUAAAGGUUAAAAAACACAUAAUUGAACCAUUUUUAUAACUUGUUCUCUUUCUUAAAGUUACUUAUUCUUUUAGGCAUAAGUUCACACAUAAAAAAAAGGGAGAUGAGUCGUUGUCAAAAGAAUUUUUGAAAUGAAUAACCUCCCCUAAUUGCAUAUGUUGAAAAGGCAGUGAGCCCUCUUUUAAAUUUAUUAUCCUUCUGCAACCGUCUCAAAGGAGAAGAGAAGGAAAAGGUGUGCUUUAACUUUAAGGGGAAUUUUAGCAAUCCUCUUUUAGUGGUUUCGGUGUGGCUUCUCUUUUUUCUUGUCUACAAGGGGGACACGGAGUCGUCACUGAUAGUAUGGCUUUUCCAAACAUAGAGCAUGGUGGACACACUUUUAUUAAGAUUAGGACCAUAUCUCCAUUUGAGUUUCAUUAAUUCUAAGGAUUAGGUUCCAUUUGGAUCAUCACUUUAUGCAUGUUUUAAAAUAUAUUUACUACAGCCUGUUAUUUACAAACAUGUGUAUUAGACGAAAAGAUAAUUUAAAAAUAACAUGCUCAAACAAUGUGAGAGUUAUAUGUGGUUCUUUACCUUGGUAAAAUCAAGUUAAACGAGAAAUAAUCGGGCUCCCUAAUAUAAUUAAAACAAAGGAAGAAACAAUUCAAAUUCAAAUCUCUGGAGUACUUACUAUUUACAAGGUAAAUUACGUUUCAUUCCUGUGCGAUUUAGCACCUUUUUACACAAGUCCCUUAUAUUUUUUAAAAACUACACAUUACCCCCAUCAUAUUUUGAAUUGAGGUGUCAAAAUUAUACAAUUUACAUUUCAUCAUGGAUUUGACUAAAAUAUCAAAAGUGUCCGUAUGUAAAUUUAAAAAUUAUUUAUUAGCCACAUGUGAGUUAUGUAUAUAUUUUAGAAAUUAUAAGAGGAUUUUAUGUUAAAGUACUAAAUCAUAAGAUAGUAAAGCGUCAUGCAUAGUAUGCUUUUAUAUUUUGACCAUUUCAGUCAUUAUAGUUGCAAAAUAAGGAUAAUCUCGACAUUUCAAUGCAUUCGAUUGCAGAUUAUUACCAAAAAAAAAAAAAAAAAUCACAUGUGUCACUUUAACAAUUUAAUUCAAAUUAUAAGGGGACUGCAUACAAUACAGCUUUUGAAGUCGUGGAAGGCUUGGGAUUUGAAAAAUGCGAAACUGCAGGGGUUAGAGUGUGAUGAUAAAGCACAGCGAAGCUCUACCUGGAUACAAAAAGGACGGAUUGAGGUCAAAGCAUUACAGGUCAAGUUCAUUAAAGAUGAAGAAACAGACGAGGCACGUAGUAGCCCAAAAUUUAAUCUCAUCUGUCACAUUAAUGGCAACGUUAACUCCAGCCCAACCACUCCCUCUUUUGGGCCAUCACUUCAGCACUGCAUAGUGCACCUCAACUGUCCACCACUCAACUUUUAUUAGUAUUACGAACAACAGUUCCCACACGUUGCUCCGUCCGAAAUAUAGCUGAAGCCAUAGCCUAGGAGGAUAUUCAGCUGAAGAAAAUAACAUCCAUCUCAACGACAAAGGGCAAAAACAAGGAAGGGGCAGCAAAAAUCAGGUAAGAAGAGAUGAACGCGAGAGCUGAAAUCACUGCAUUUUUGUUAUUGGCAAUCGGUUGCAGUUUGGUUGCUGGAGAUGCCAUUGGAGAUCAAUGUGCGAAUGAGUUUCCAAAGUUGUCGACGUGCCUAACCUUUGCAACCGGGAAGCAGGACACCCCGACGAAAGAGUGUUGCACUUCGGUGUCGGACCUCAAGAACAAGAACCCGGUUUGUUUGUGCUACAUUAUUCAACGGAUCCACAGUGGAAGCGAUCCUCAGAUCAAGAGCAUGGGCAUUCAAGAAGCUCGCUUGCUUCAGCUGCCUUCUGCUUGCAAGUUGACUAACGCCAGCACCAGCGAAUGCCCCAGUGAGUAACUAACUAAUCACAUAUAUAUAAAUAUAUAUUUCUUUCCUCUACCCUGCUGUGGAUUUAUGCAGGAUGAUGCCAAAAAAAAAAAAAAAAACAUAAGUGAGCCGUGCUUUUUUAUUUUUUUUCCUUGUUCGUUUAAUUUGUUCAUACAAUUUUACUGGUUUGUGGAUGGGGAGAUCGAUGGAUCCUUCUAGGACAAGGGAAAAAAGGGACUCUUAAAACAUUCGGUUAUUUCUCGAUACUAAGUAGCUUAAAACAUCAUGAUUUCUUUGUUUACUAAUUCUGGAGCACUAAAACGUGCAUAGUUAUUAAAUCCUCGAAUUGCACAAUAGUUAUAUUUUAAAAAUAAUAAAAUUUUUAAGUCGAUGGUUCAACUGGCUGUUUUUAUUUCAAUCCAUCGUCGGAUUGCAGCAAAAUCCGAUCAACAAAUUUGUCGUUUAACUAGUUUAAUUAACAACUCAGCUUGGUUCUAUGUCCGGUUCGACCAUCGGUUGGGCCGGGUAGGAUUUUAUAUACUAUGAUAACGUGGAUUUGAGAAAUUUGAGAGGGAGUGGGCGCGUCUCUUUAUCAAUAAAAUUUACAAUCUUGUCGUACAGAGCAAAUAUCAGAGUGUUGUAUCUUCUAAUCUUUAAAAAUAGCGUCCAAAUAUUCUUUCAGGAUCAAGUCCACCGUCAACUAACGUGGUGCCAAUUACAAAAAAUGAGAUCUUUUGGUGGCUGUGGGGAACGUGGUGGCGUUUAUAGAAAAAAAAAAAACUUUUUUUAGCUCUAGAGUCGUAAUUUAUAAGACGAUAUAAAUUUAAAAAAAAAAAAUGAUCAAGAUCGAGUAAUAGGACCUCCAUGUGACAGUAAAAUACUACUAUACAGUAUCAUUUUUCAUCUGGGACUGCACCACCUACCUGAUGCGAACGCGAUUACCUCAUUAUAAUGGGUCUGCUCAAGACCGCUUAAUUAAUAUCUUGCUCUUGUGGAUUUGCCCAGCUUGUUUUUUGUGUAGCGUCAUUAAGAUGAUAUUGUUGUAAAUGAUUAAAGAUUGAUUGAUACGUUUUCAAGAUUGAUUAAGAUGAUACGCAUUACUCCUCAUGGGACUACAACUCUUACCAACCGAGCAGGUGCCAACGUGAUUGCUUAAUUUUUGGUCUGCUCAAGAUUAGUCAAUAUCUUGAUAUGGUUUGCGGCUUUGCCUGGCUUGUUUUCAGAUCUUUGCUAGUAUAAUGAAUGUACGCAGUGUAUAUUUUACUUAAAUGUUUCUUUAAUUUUGCUCCCCGUCCUGAUUUUUCUUGGUAGAGCUGCUCCACCUAUCUCCAAGUUCUCCUGAUGCUGCCAUCUUCGCGAACUCGACUGCGUCAACAACCCCAAGUACUGCAACACCAGACACAUCCACACCAACAAAACCUAAUGCUGCAUUCAAGAACGGACCUCAACUAGCUGGACCUGCUUUGGCUAUUGUCGUGGCCAUCUUCUUCUCUUCAUCAUUUCCAACUGGCCUAGCGCUCAUGUCUUCAUUUUCUACAUAAGCACUUGGGAAGUUAGCUGCUGCGACACCCUAGCUUUUGCUGUUACUUUCUUGGAGACUCUUUUUUCUCUUUUUUUUUUUUUGGGGGGGGGGGGGGUUCGUCUCUCUCAUCUUUCAUUUUGUCCAGGGCAAUUAGUUGCUGCUAGCUCGAACUUUUCCUAAGAGAUGGCCUAUCUAUUGAUAUUUUGGUACAUGCCUUUUUUUUAAAAAAUUUUUUGGGACCUUACUGUUGCAAUCUAUCUAUUCAGUAUCAGAAUUAAAAUGGACAUCCAGGUAAUAAUGCGACAAAGAAGAAAGAAAACGAGCUAGUAGAUUAAUAUUAAUUAGCAAGCUUUUGACAGGUACAACUAGCAAUUCGUUAGAAUUCAUCAAGAAGUAGAUGUAGGAUGCGGAGGAGCACCGUGGCAUCAUAUUACCUUCUAGCCCUCUACUUUUAAAAACACGAGCUUGCUCCUAUGGCAGCGGUGAUUAAACUGAGACAACGACAAUGGCAUAAAUAACCCAAGACGCAAAAAUUUCACGUCCUUUUCCCACGGUUUUGGAAUUUUUCGGGGAGGUUUGAUUAGCUAAUCGUAAUUGAGACAGAUAAUUGUCAUUAUCCUGGGUCAUUGAAGCCCCUACGGAUUAAUUGCAGAGCAAGUUGGGCAGCACAUUUCAAUGGACUUUACAAAGUGACCGUAGUCCCUUGGAUCUUUUUUUUUUUUUUUUGUCGACACAAGGGUGUCCGAGUCAAUCUUUACGGGGCCCGACUAAUCUCCUGCGGCCCGAGCCCGGCGCCCCAACCCGACCCGAACACGUUAAGUGCGCGGAGGAAUCUAACGGAGUGGAGACUCGAACUUGUGAUCUCAAGAUUCACUCGAACUUGUGAUCUCAAGAUUCACUGGUGAGAGGCACUGCGUAGUCCCUUGGAUCUGUGUUGUUUAAAGUUUGGUGACAGAUUCACCAAGCAUACAUGAUACAUGUUCUUUUUUUUUUUUUUUCAUGCAAGAAAUAACCACAUUGCUAAAUAUGUGGCUCGACUUAUCUUUGAUCAAAUUUGCAAGUUUGACGACCUUCCCUGUUAGUAGAAGCAUCAUAUGAUAAUAUAUAGGAAGACCCUUACUAGCAUCUUUUGGCAAAAACCUUCGAAUUAAUUAAUUAGUCAGGAGCCAAGAUAAAUUUUUCUAUGGCAUACCAUCCUCAAUCAGAUAGCAAGAAAAAAGUAUAUAUAUAUACACAUUAACUAGGGGUGCUCGAACAGAUAUAUGAUGAUGUUUUGUGAAUUCCACAUUCCUGAGAACAGAAAGAUUGACUAGCAGUAGGUGACUGGUAGUAAGCAAGUUGGUAGCAUUUACAACGAUCAAGUUGCUAUAUGAACAAUUCCCUUCGAGCUUCGUAUGGCUAUUGUGUCUCACAAGUCACAACAAUCCUUAUCAUCUGCUGUUACAACAGAGAGCAGUAGCAAAUGGGCGAUUUGGGUGCCAAAAAGAAAAAGAUUGAACGACUCCUAUCGUUGUUCUCAAGACAAGAUGGCACAAGCAUUUGAUGAGAACAAAACAGGGAAGAUGGAGGAGCAUUCAGAUGCGUUUCCUGCUGCAAUUAUAUCCAAGACCUUUAGUUAAGAGUCAAUUUCUUCAAAUAUGUGAGGGUGAAAGUUCUGGCAAGACAUUACAUAUAUUAAGGAGCCUGUUUGACUACAAAAUUUUAGAUGACCAACAUCUUUUUUGGGAGGUAAAGAAUUAUGAAGUCAAGUAACCUAAACACCUAGCAAGCGUUAUCGCACUUAAUUUGAAGCUCUUGCAAGUUUGAACGCAUCAAUAUUUUUGGAAAACAAUUUUGGCCCCUAUUUGCAAAUUUUUGAUAAUAUGCAUAUUGUGUUUUCUCUAUCUCUUUCUUAUCAUCAUCAUCAUCAUCAUUAUUAUUAUUUGCGUUUUUUCAAGUUUUAUGCUAAUCAAAUUACCCAUCCCCACGUGGGGGAGAGUUGGUUUAGAUGGUAAGGUAGAAGGAAUUAUAAGUAAGAGGUUCUAAACCUGAGCUCAAGAAUCCAUCAUAACUGUUGCAAGGAGAGGAGGAGAAUCAAAUCCUAAAUUCACAUCCUAGUUGCAACUUUAGAGCAAAACAACAAAUAUUAUGUGGAUAGAAGAUUAUUUGGAAAAUUCACCUGUCAUAGGCAUUGGCAAAGAAAUUAGCAUGGAGGAUGGGUUGGGUCGUGAUGAGAACAAUCCAAUAUCCAAAUUGGGCUGGACCUACGUUAGUACCUGGUCCAAAUUUUUAGGAGCAUAAAGAGCAUUGACCCGUUGACUCUCUGAAGAUGAAGAAAAUCACGUGCGUUGUAUACUUGUAUUUACAUUAAAAAACCCCCCAAUUUCUUUUAUUUAUUCGCCAAAGUCUUCUCUCUCUUCCCUCUCUCGUUUGCCCUAACGUGAACGCCCGAGACUCUUCCUUCACCGGAGCAAAAUUCUCUUCGAUAUCUCGCGCCCUCUCUUCCAUUCUCCGUUAAAAGAUGUCUCAGGUUAAAUUUAAAUUACCAUUUCCUUUAUUUUCGCACACAAGUUCGUCACUUUUUAAUUGAAAUUUCUUCUUCUUAGUAGUCCAUUAAUUUAUGCGUUUCUUCUUGUAGAUUAUCUGUUUCUUUUGAUUUGUUUGAUUCCGGUGUACCCCAAUUAUGUGAAAAGAGUCGAAAUUAGGUUUAAUUUAAUAAUUUUUACAUUCUUAUAAUGCUUUGUUCUUUUGUCGGGAGCUUGAAGGUGACUGAUGUAACUGAUCUAGGGUUUCAGUCAAUUUGAUCUUGCAAGUUUUAUAUACGUUCAAGUUAGAACAACUUUGGAGUUAAAUUAAUGUUGUAUUUUACAGGUUGACAAUAGAAAUUCCUCGGCAGCAAAACGUGCCCGGACUGAUGGUAUAGUAUUUCUUUUCUUUGUUCUGCCUCUUUGUACAGUUAAUCUGUCAGAUAGGUAUUACUUUGUGCAGCUGCACCUGUGUGUGUGAAUGUACUUGGCUGAGGUGUAAGAACUGCUCUUAACACUUAUGAAGCACAUAUCCAGUAUUUCAUUCAUAUUCAUGAUGUAAACGUAUCCCACAAACAAAAGAAUGCAUGACAAAACACGUAAAAGUCAGUUUUGUUGAUGGAAAUCGAUUCUUAAUGACAGGAAAUUUGCCUAGGACUACAGAAUACAUGGUCAAAUAUAAACAUUUUAAAUCUGAUGAGGAGUAUCUAAACAACAAGCAAUCUUUUCCCCAUUUUUUAUGUAGUUUAAAACAGUGGGCCAAGAGGUUUCAGCCCAGUGUUGCUUUAUAAGUCAAAUAUUGGAAUAUUAGUACAGGUCCAGCUACUUUUAUGAUAGGGUAGCCAAGGUUUGAUUUUGGAUUUCCAAUCUGCUUAUUCUUCUUCUUCUUUUUUCUAUUUUUUCCUCUUUUGGUAUGUGAUGGACUAUUCAAGCCUAAAUCUUUGGUCUUUUAUCUUCCUUUGCUGGAUGUGCUGGCUUAGAAUUACUCUUAUGCUUGUCUUCACUUUCAAAACACCAACGGUUUAAGAACUUCUCUACAUUUGUGCAGUCUGGGAUUCUUUUUUCAGUUUAUAUCUUCCCUUUUCUGGUUAAGAGAUGAGGGUGAGAGUAGGACUAAGCAAUUACCUUUUGCUUCAUACUUCCAUUUAUGUUUAGACUUUUGGGUCAGUGCUGCAUCAAUUUUAAUUGGAUAUGAAUUUGUGCUGUGUUAAUUCUAACUGGAUUUGAAUGUUGGCCUUUAUGUGUUUACAGGUGGCCGUAGAGAAGAUGACUGGACAUGUCCCAGUUGUGGGAAUGUUAAUUUCUCCUUCAGGACAACUUGUAAUAUGCGGAACUGUACUCAGCCUAGGCCUGCUGAUCAUAACUCCGUAAGAUGGAAACUAUUUUACUUUUCCAUUUUUGUGAUGAUUGGGGGAUUAGAGGGUAUGUCACUAUUGAUGUUUUUGAAGUUUUAUGUGAAAGAUUCAGUUGUCUGGCAUGUUAUAACUUCUAGUGUCUUCAUAAAGUUUAGUAUGAUAAUAUGCAUGCUAAAUAAGAAUUAAUCCUGAGAAUCUUGAUUUCAGGCUUCUUGUCAACUUUUUGGUUUUUUUAUUUGUCGAGUUCAACAAAUCAGAGUUUCGCUUUGAAAGUUCUACCUGACCCCAAAGUUAAUCUUGAACCUUAUUAUAGCAUGCAGUAGGGCUACUUUAUUUUCCUCUUUGAUUUGUUAUUAGAGUAUUUUGCUUUUAAUUUAGGAUAUCUCUUUUUCAUCUAUGGUUUUGAUAUUGUCGCUUAUUAGCUCCUGCAUCAUUUAUUUCUUGAAAACUUUGGCAGCUAAGCAUUCCUUAUCUUUUCGUUUUGUUUUUCAGAAAUCUGCUGUAAAGCCUCUGCAAGCACCCCAAAACUACCCAGCCUCAGCUCCAUAUAUAGGUUCUGGUGCACCAUCCUCAAUGUAUAUGGGUGUACCUCCUUAUGGAUCUUCUCUCUUCAAUGGGACAUCUAUGCCACCUUAUGACGUUCCAUUUUCUGGGGGAUCUGCCUAUCAUUAUAACUAUGGCAGUCGUCUUUCUGGAGGUAGCCCAUAUCGACCAUUGCAUUUGUCCGGUCCUGCUCCUUACUCUGGUGGUUCCAUGAUUGGAAAUGGUAAUCACUGUUUUAUCCUUCUGUUUAGUGGUUGCUGCAAUGUGUAUAUAUUGAUACUAAUGUUAUUGGACUGAGAUUUGACUUCCAUUUUCUGUUCUUUGAGAUGGUCUUUAACAACUAAUGUUUUUUUCCCUAUCAUUUCUCUGCCUCAUUCCAAAUCUGGAAUGAGCCUGUCAUAUGUGAAUAUGCUUUCCACCCUUUAAUGAACCAUGCUACUGAUCCUUGUUUACUUUCUUAUGUGCAUUUUUAAAUAGUCUAGAUCUUAUAUCUUCACCUGCUACUGUUUGGUCCUACGAAAUUGCAGUUAUCAAGUUGUUUAAAAGUUUGUCUUUUGCAGGUGGGAUGUAUGGUGUGCCGCCAUUAAUGGACCGGUAUGGCUUGGGUUUACCCGUUGGUCCUGCUGCAAUGGUAAUUGCAAAUUAAAUGUUACAAUUCUAUGUGAUGCUUCUGCAGUUCUAUUUUUGCGUAUGCAAUAUCCUCAACUUGUCCGCUGCCACAUUCGUGGAAAGUGUUACUUACUGAUUAGCUGACAUUUAAGUGAAGAGGCAAAUUCUUUCUUGCUUUGGUUGGAUUAUGUCGUGUAAGUAAACAAGCAACUGGAACCUUUAGUUAUCUUUUACUCCACAUUGGUGCAGGGGCCAAGACCAGGAUUUUUUCCAGACGAAAAGUCCCAAAAAAAGGGUGGGUAUGUUUAUGACAUUCAACGAAUAGCUGAACAGUAUUUUGGCAUUUCGGUUGCAGUGAUCACUUUACAUGUGAACUUUCAGAUGGAGCACGUGAUAAUGACUGGGCAUGCCCCAAGUGUGGUAAUUUGAACUUCUCAUUCAGGACAGUUUGUAAUAUGAGGAAAUGCAACACACCAAAGCCUGGAUCCCAAGUAUGAGUUACUUUGUGUUUGUGAACCAAAAAUGUGUAUAUUGUUGUUUGCUGGUUUAUACUACUGGGAAAAAAAGUUAUGUUCUUUGCUACUUGCAGCAUCUCCUGCUCGGAAUGUUGAAAAGGGCAUUCUAAUUUUUUACUGAGUUGUAAUUAUCUUGUAAAUGCAGGGUGCAAAGUCAGGGAAGAACGCAAGUAAGUCAAUUUUUUGCUGUUGUUUACUUGAGCUGUAUAAUUGUUUACUUAUUGGUUAUUAUCCUUCAGAACCAGACAUGCCAGAGGGGAGCUGGAAGUGUGAGAAAUGCAACAACAUUAAUUAUCCUUUCAGGACGAAGUGUAACAGACAGAACUGUGGAGCUGAUAAGCCAUCUGAACCGAAAAAGUCGCCAUCCAAGGGAGCUGAUGAAAAUGAUCAGGUCUGUUGGGUGCUGUUUUAUGUUAAAUUGAGGUGUUACCUUCGAUACAUAUGCUGGUUCACCAUCUGUAAAACUAGCUGUAAACUUGAGAGAUGUCAAGCUGACACUAAAGAUGUACCUUGCAAUUUGAGGAUGCGAAUCCUUUGGUUCUUUUCAUUCAUUAUUUGCUUCCAAUUCAUCCUCUUUCUUUUGCCCUUAAGUUUUUAUUUCUCUGAUGGAUUUUGCAUUAGUUAAUUGUUUGUAUUGUACUUUGCUUCCUUUGUGUCCUUGCAUUUAUUAAUUUUAAAUUGUCUAUGUUCCAGUGAGUACUAGGCCAUGUUUGAGGGUUGAGAAGGUCCAGAGUUGUCGUCAAGUCAAGCAUUGCUCAGUAUGGUGUCUGAAAGUCAGUCAUGUCGUCUUCCUGUUGCAGCGGUGUCGAGUUACUCUGCCUUUUUUACCGUGUCAAUUUGUUGUAUUAACUGAGAUGGAAUAUGGUUUGGUCUUUAAUGGAUCCUUGUUUAGUUGCAUCAGUGUCUGCCAGCUUAUUCUGGCAAAGCUUUUUCAGCACAGUUGUGGGUAUUCUAUAAUAGGAGUUUGUACUUCUGGUAUGUCGUCUAUUCUAAAUUGCACUUAUGCUCGCUCUACUAUCGGCAGGGUGAAAAUUUUUGCAGUCUCUCUUAUCAUAGUAGCGUGUUUAUUUUUAGUUGUCCUAGUGGUACCGAGAUAAUUAAAGUAGAAAACAACCUAGCAUUUCAUAAGAUUCUGGAUAGUUUUUAGAUGUUGCUAUAGAAUUGAUUUUUUGCGGAGCUCCGUCGGUCAAAACUAACAGCUACUCUCUAAUUAUGGAAUCCUCUGCUAUGAUGUUCUGUCAAUUUCUGGACUCCAAAAAAAGGGAUCAACAGAUAUUUUGCCACCUCCCCCCACCUUCCCCCCACAACAGGGAAAAAAAAAAAAGGAUCAACAGAUAUACUUGCUCUUCCGUUUACGUAUUAUAUGCCGAAAUUUUCAUUUGUAACUCUGAAAAGAAUUUCGAAUUACGUACGCAAGUGUGAAGUACUACAUAUAUUUGUCGGCCGGAAUUUCACUAAUCAAUGGACAAGAGUUCUUUAAUCAUUUAUAGAUUUUGCCAAAAAUAAGAGUGUAAAACAUAAAUUGGCAGUGGACUGAGAAAUUAAACAUGAAGCCUUGGGUGAAGACUUUUCGUAGCUUGCUCAACAGGGUGAAUUACCCAAAAAAAAUAAAUAAAUAAAGUGCAGAAAUUACAACUUUUGAGACCUCGGGUAAACAACUACAAAUUAAAAUGCAGAAAUUAGCUCAAAAACAAAUUAAAAAAAUUCAAGGUCGGCAGAUUUGAAACGUCAUAUAACUCAUUAAAAGCAGGCAUCAUAAAUAAUUGAUGCACGUGAGAAGAAGGCAAAUAAUUGAUACAAGAGGGAGGCAAACACGAUCAUGUCACUACGAUAUAGAUAUAGAUCAGUCCCUCUUUGCGCUGCUUCCAGUUCCAGUGGGCCUAACGAGUUCAAGCUCAGCUAAUUUAAUUUGAAACAUUUUCGAAUUUUGGGUUAUGAGUUUCGGGUUCGUAAAUGUGAAGCUCAUACUCAACUCACAUAAUAUUCGGGUUGCGAGCCUUAAUCGGGCUUAGCCCAAUCUUACUUAUUACUUCUUAAUUUUCUUAAUAUAAUUACUAUAACUAUUAAGUUGUAAAACUAAUUUAACAUUUACAAAACUAUAAUAUUAAAACUAAAAAUGAACAAAUAAUAGUUCUUAAAAAGUAUAUAAACCAAAAAUUUUUUCAACAAUAUUUAUAUUUAAUCCAUUUAAAAUGCAUGAAAAAUAGUAAUAAAACAUGCGACCAUAAGCCAAUACAUCUUUAAAAGUUGAAACUUUUUUUUAUAAUCUUGUGAUUUAAAUCCAAAUAUGCUUGAUGAUUUUUGUGUUUGUAGACAAAAAAAAAAUCAACCAAUAAUAUGCUAAUACAAAAAUUUACUCAACCAAUAAGAAAAAUUAGAGAUUUAGUUAUGCAUUACUAAUAUUGGCUCUCAAGAAAGCUCAUGAAAGAGUUUUUAGAUGUAUUUUUGUGUUUUGUAAUUUAUAUAUAUAUUUAAUAUUUAGUAAAAAUAUAUUUGGAUAUAUAAUGAUACAUAAUAUCAAAAUAUAAAUAUUAUAUAUAUAGGUAAUUAAAGGGCCGGGCCUAUAUCGGGUUUGAGCCUAAUAAGGCCCAAGCUCGGCUCACAUUUAAUUCGGGCCUAAUUUUUAGGCUCAAGUUCAAACCGGUCCACUAAAUGAUCGGGCUCAUCGGGCUUUCUGUCGGGUCAAACGAGCCGAGCUCGGGCUGGCCCAGCCCCAUUGACAGUCCUAGGUAAAAUAGCUAAGGAUUUUACUGCUGCGCCAAAAUCACUACAUGUGAAUGAAAACGAUGACAAAGCUUCUAAUUUAGAAUUAUUCUGCAAGAUCAAAAGUGAGGAGGCAUUUGGGAAGAACAUAUUAUAUUGGCACCCCCACUAAAGGGAGACAGAGAAGAAGAAAUGAACCAGAAAAUGAAUUGAAGAGACAGACUUGUUAACUCCUUCCUUGAACCAGAAAAUGAAUUGAAGAGACAGACUUGUUAACUCCUUCCUUGCUCCUACAAGCAACAAUUUCACACAUUAGUAACUGUUAACCGCAACAUAUCUGGUACUAGUUAAUCCCAAAUAACAACGGAACUACUUUUCAGUAAAGACUUUCAUUUGCAAGAUCAUAUUUAUGCACCCGUAGAGAGGACAGGAGACACACCUAUAUAUACAUAUACAUAUAGACACACACACACAAACACACACACCAGUAUGGCAAAGCAGUUGCUCGCAAAAUUCCCUGAAAUACAAACUGAAAUUUAAUACCCCUUCAACCACGUCCAGCAGCAGAAUCACUUCGAAACAGAAGCAACUACAAUCAACAGACAUUAGCCAACAAUGUGAUAAGAAAAAUGUGAGCGAUGUAAGAUUAUAUACAUGUCGGUUAGUUCAAAAAAUAAAAAGGCUUUGCAGAUCACUUCAUGGAAAGGGCCAGAGCACAUCCAGGCACACAUGCCUCUCAAGGCUCAAUUGAAAAAUAGUGGUGCAAUUUGUAACCACUAGAGUUCAAAAAGAAAGAAGCCAUCCAGCAUGCGAGCUAAGUAACCCCAUUUGUAACCACACAGAAUCAGGGAGAAAUUACUAACAGCGCCAACAAACCUGACACUGCAAAAGAAUUUGGGACAACAAAGUAGUAGUAAUUUACCAACGGCUGUUUUAUGUUCAUGACGUACAGGGCCCUGCACGCACGAAGUAAAAUGAAAAAAUAAUCGAAAACUACUAGUGCUACCAGUACCCAAUAGCUUCAUAGCGGGGCAGGAUAGAUGGUUAUUGCUCUCCUUGAGAAUAAAGUGCCCAUGCCAAGACGUGCAGGAGCAAACAAAUUCCCAUUAUUAGCACCGGUGUCGCACCUCGGUGAAACUACGUGGAAACCAAAAUCCGCAGCCCACUGGGAAAAAAGAUCCUGCCAUUAGCAUCUACUCCGACAGGAAACGAGCCCCUUGUCCCUUUUGUACAAUUAGUUUGGAAAGGAAAGAGAGGAAAGAAGUAAAUGUCACCCAAGACAACACUUUUAUGCUCACUGACAAGUACCAAAACGCAUUCACCAGAUGAAUGGUCACCCCCUCAACCUUCCCUGAUCCCCGGAAAUCUUUUAGCAUUAGGUCAAUAGGCCAUGACAUUGUCCCUCAGAAAUUCCUCACAUUACACGUCCAAAGGACCGUAAGACUUUGAUGGUUUAAACUAAUUCUCCUUCUAAGACACUCCGGUCGACGAACAAUUAGCUUAAAUGUUUGCUGAACACCAUGACCACAAUGGGACAACACCCGAUUAAUGACGAGAACUUGAUACAUAAUGUGGAACAUCACAUCACUUCGUAAGUAAAGAUCCAAACAAAGCAAUAGUUAUGUAGCUAAAAUGUUUGCUGGAGACCAUGACCACAAUGGGACGACCCCCGCUCGAUUAAUGAUGAGAACGCGAUAUAUAAUGUGGAACAUCACAUCACUUCGAAUGUAAAGAUCUAAACAAAGAAAAAGGUAUGUAGCUUCACCACCGCCGCUAAGCAUCUUAUGUGCCUUGCACCAAAAAACCAGAUCUCAACCAUCAACAAGCAAAGGAAAACUCCAGUUGCAAUGAUUAAACGCAGAUCAGUUAAUGAAUCAACAACCAAGGCUUUUGCCAUCUAGACUUUUAUAUGUACUCCCGCUUUGAAACUUAAAUACAGAGAAGAAAAGGUGUAUUUUUCAAGAAGACAUGCAAACGAACUCCAUACUGCCAGAAUUGGUUUAUAGAGAAUUUUAGCUUUCAACUCCAAGUGUUUGAAAAAAUGUCAUUCUGAUACGGUGGUUUGAAAAGCUGAAUUUCCUGGAAGUGACCGCCAAUGUUACUGCUACCAGUGAAGGUAUGAGAGCUUGACUGAGUUUCGAUCUGCCAGUAUUCCGAUGGCAAGGCUUGGGGAAUCACGGAGAGAGGCAUGGUAGUAGGAUAUACACGCAAGGGGUGGUCAAACGAUAUGGGCUCUGGUUCAGAUGAACCCCACGAAUUUGUUGACAGAAGAGAGAGAGCACGAGGAAACUCAGGUGCUGCUGACUCGGAGGACGAUACGGAUUCCUUGAAACCUAGGGGAAAAAAAAAGCAAUGUAAUGUGUGCUGAAAUUCUGAGAAGAAAAGAAAGGAUUAAAAGAACAGUCAGAGCAAAAAAAAAAAAAAUUCAAAACUCAGUAAUAGUAAUUCAAGUCUGUUAUAUCUUGGAAAGCUUUUGAUUUCUCAAACAAUUUUUCAUAUUUUGGUUUUAGACACUUGAUGAUACUGGAGUAACUAAUAUUCUUCUGUUCCCGACGUUUUCUAAAAUAGCUAAUCAUAAGAAACCAGACACUCGUGUUAUUUAGGAGGAUUUGAGAAGAUGAUGAACCAUUAUUUCACAGAAAAUAUGCAUUACCACAACAAUAAUCAGAACUCAAGAAAACCUCGAUCUGGCAUUCCUAAACAAAAAAACAUGUUCCAACAUUCUUCAUGCAAAAUGCCAAUUUAAAUAACAUAACACAUAACCAGCAACAUGGAGUUCCAUGGUCGCUCAAGCAAAAUUAGUAUUGUCUUUUAUCAAGUGAGCUUAAGGCAUCUAAUUAUUGUAACUAUUUCCUUGAAGUUCUAAUGCUUAUCCUAUAGUUUCAGUAAUUCCACGAAAUGCAGCCCUCUUGGAUGCGUCUGUAGAUUGAUAAAACUUGUUCCUGAUACCAACCUGACUGCAAUUACCAAAAAACAGAUACAAAAGUAACAAAAAUGGCAGACUGACUGACUUUUUCUUUAGCUUAUACUUUACUACGUUUGCACAAGUACAGCUACCAUGAUACUUCAGUAAGUUUGCCUCUUUUGAAGUUAAUUCCUUCACCUGACCCAUCAGAUUAAACUGGUGAUUUCAAUCUUGUAUGGACCUAAACAAUUCAGUCCUAGGUAUUUACAGUUGCACGUGUGAAUUUCUUUGACUGCAAGUUAACUUGUUAUCUGAUUUCCCCCAGCACUUCAUCCCUGUUCCAAGUUCAAUACCAUCUAAUGCCUCCCUUGAUACAGAUAUUAUUAAAGAUAUAUCAUACAUGUAACAUAGCACAUCUCACUCGAGCUUAAACUCAUUAAGGGGUUAAAAACAUAAUUUUGAUGCAAUCCCUGACAUAACUAGAUACCAAUCCCAAAGCCCCCUUCACUUGGGGGAAAACAGGGACAAUAAAAGAACUACAGUAUGAGAACGAUAUCUUAAAAAAAGGCCCAGAAUUAAAAUUUUUUACUUUCUUGCUAAGUUUUAAAAGGAACCUUUUCCUUUCACUACCGCACAUCUAUGAACAUUGGAUUCUAAGCAUGAUUACAGCAAAAGAAUAAGAUAAGGAUGCAAUGAUGAUGCUAUAAAUGCAACUAUGAGGCAGACAAUCAUAGAAAAAAAUGCAAAACCUUUAGCUGAAUAAGCAGAUAUAUAGACAACCCAGCAGAAGUACAAACCAGACAUGCGAAUAUUAGUAAAGCAUUGAACCCCAUAUGGAGAUGCACUUAUGUAAGUAUAAGAGACCCUUCAAACAAAGACAAGAAACUCACCCAAUAUCUAAUAUCUGAAAUGCACACAAAUAAGCACCAGCAUAACAGGUUUAAGCUCAUUCAGGAUGACACAUUUUAGGAUGACAUUGAACAAUUUAGGAAGAUGUGAAAAUAACCCACUUUCAUGUAAUUUCCAGUUUUCUGCAGAUGUAGAAGACAAACCUUGUUUAAAAACAUCAGCAGCAGAGGCCUUGGAUGUCAAGAGUUCAUUGGAUAACUUAUUAUGCAUAGUCAUCGCAUAAGGCAGCUCAAUUCUUGGCAAAGGUGGCUGCCCAACUUUCUCACGUUUCAAAGGGAAGUGUUGUGUUAGCGUGAACUUUGAGCUACAUACAUUUUCCCACGUAGGGUUCCCAAUACUUUCCCCAUUGUUCAGUGAAAAAUUCAUUUGUUUCCUGCCAUCUACAAAUGUAAAAAGCACAUGAGGAAGAACACAUACAAUUGAACGAGGAGGUAAAGGCUUGGAUGAUUGAACUUUCCAAGUCACCGGACAAACAAGGGCAAAAAGAGCUUGUGAAGGAAAACAUAAAAUGCUACUGGUCAUAAUGAACAGCAGUAGUUGCAGCACAACAGCCCAACUCAAUCUGCCCUUUUCCUUUUCUCCCCUUAUCCAAGAAUUGGAAGAGCAAUUUACUAACUUCUCAAAGCAAUUAGUAUGACAGAGAUCCCAUUGUAGCCAUUCAUCCCAGAUUUUAUCCCUACAAGUUGUCCUAGUUUCACUCUUAUACAAGCUACCCCCCCCCCAAAAAAAAAACUGACAAAUUCUUGCCAACAAAAGAGUUCCAUUUUGAACUGAAUUAUGUCUUGAUAUCCGGAGACACUAAAAGUCUCACUAAGAAACUCCAGUCAUCCAUCUUAUGCAUGUAUGAACUUUACAUCUAAAACAAGUAUCACUAUACAAAAUUUAAAACCAUGUAAAUUUCUCAACAGCACAGGAUGACGCCUAUUAUAGUACACUUGUAAGCCAUCCAUAUUAGCAAAUAGAGUCUAUAAAGAAGUUCAACAACAUCAAUACCAUGAUAUGACGAAGUGAGUUUCGUUCUGUUAAACUGGAUUGUUUCCUGGCGAGGCUUGCGACGUCUAGCAUUAUGAUCAGAAAGCCUUCUACGACAACUUCGCUUUUUCUCAUCAAACUCGGUCAAGCUGUGAAACCUACAACAUCCCAUAAAUAACCAAUUAGUAUUUGACUAUCAAUUCCAAAAGUAAGAAAGGUCAUCUGAAUUUCCAGAACUACAGUAGGUUAUAACAGCCAAGUAAUGCAGGCAACUGCAUGGACUAAAAUAUAUACAGCAGCACAGAAAUGAAUCUAGCUUUUUGCACUAUCAGAGUUAAGCUUCACAACAUGGAAAGUCAUUGACGUAACCUACCUGCUACACUGUUGGCAAAAACGUCGUUCUAGACCAGCUACAACAACCUUUGGGCAUUUGGAAUGGUUAUCACAAACUUUAUGCUUACGGUGGUAGUCUUUAGCUGAAGAGAGAUCAAGGUUGCAGCCUUCAACUUGGCAGCGAGGGAUAGUCGCAUUCUGACAAGAUGAUUUCGUUUUCUUUGCCGUAGAAAUGGACGAUACAGGAGCAACAGAGAAGCCUGGGCUCUUAGUACUGCUGCCAGCACUGUUCUCAAAAUAGGUCCUCUUCCCAAGUUUCAGUCCAAUUAGCGGUUCAACCGAAACAACAGAUGUCUCCAAAGACGACGGUGUUCUGGAUAGAUCAGCCCUUGGUGGAACUAUUUCCGUGAUAAUAGCUCCAGGAGAGCCCUGAAGCUUAAGACCGGAUGUCUUCAUCCCCUCCUUUGGUGAAGAGUCUCUGGAAACUGACUUUGAGCUCUUCCCAGAAGAACCAUGCCCCAAAUCAGAUCCAGAACCACCACUAGUACCUCCAAUCCCAGACAGAUCGAAUGAACCACCAUCAAUUUCCCCCUCGUCAUCAAUAACCAAAUCAGUUAACUGCAGCUUUUUAAGGCUAUCACUUGUCUUUGAAUUAAAUGAAAUGAAAUUAUCCCAGUCCGACUUAGUAUUCCACUCCAUUUCAGAAAAAAAAUUCAGCAAAUAGUCUCAGCCAAUCUUCUUCUGCAUCAAAAGCAACCAGGAAACUUGGUAUCAGACCCCUGUUAGUCAUACAUCACGUCGGGAGGACAUCAAAAAGAGCAAAAUUCAUCAUAACAAAAUAUGAACAAGGAGACGUGUAUUAAGGUCUUAUUCAGCAAAAGCAGCAGAGGAAAAACAGCAAUCACUUGUGCGAGCCUCACCUCAAUGACUUACCCCAUAAAACAGCUGCAAAGUACAGACUCACUGUUGUAGAAGAUUGAUGGCAGCACAGAUGCUGAAUUAGAGUACUAUAUCUCCCACGAAAAGCACAGGAUUAACUGCCUUUCGAAGGUAAUACCGACACGAUUUCCAGAAUUAAGUCAACUCAACUAAGCUUCUGAAAGCAUAAUAAAACAAAAACGAAGCAUUCCUCCACCCUUCCAGGACAAGUCAAGCACCUACUCCUUCCUAAUUAGAACUGAAAUCAAAAGUAGCUGAAUCCAUCAAAAACCCAAUGGUCUCGGCUUCUUGAGGUUCCACAAUUUGACACCUACGACCGGGGAGCCAGCAAAAGUUCAAUAUAGAUUCACCAUCACCUCCAUCAAGAAACGCACUAUCAAAGAAUUCACACUUAGAAUAGUCAGAUACUAUCCGAAAAAGGAAAUUAUUAAAAGCUUAGAACUUGUAGUUAAAAAAAUCGCAACCUAGCGUCCCAACAUCCUGCAAGCAACUGUGGAAGAAAUUAUAUACUUUCCACAUCUGCCCACUACUGUACAAAAUCCCAGAUGUCAAAAAAAGUUACUAUAUUACCUUCCCUUCCCUCAACCCCACCAAAAACUGAAAAUAAAAAAAAGGAGGUGAAAAAAAAACUUAAAUCUUUACCUUCCAUCCAAAUAUGCUCUUAAGAAUCAACAAUACCUCCCCUCUCACCUUCCUAAGUAAAAAAAGAAAGAAAACCAUUGUAGACGUCGUUUUCACAUCUAAAUGAGCUGUUCAUCUCCGCUAAAAUUAACACAAAAACCCUUAAUCGCUAUUAUUGAAAAAGACUCCGACCAGUUGACGAAAUUAACACCAAAAUAGUUCAAAAGAAAUAUCUACAUCAGAGUUCAUUAGCUUCAACUCCGACCACAUAUAUGAAUAAAUCACCAUUCCAGUUCUAACCAUGCGUCUGCACUAAAAUCACUUUCAAAUCUGUCUCCAACUACUCAAAAUCCAUUUAAAAAAGAAAUGCAUAUUAAGCAGAAAACAUUUUGCAAUUUUAAUUCUGAUAUAUUUAUAGAACAAUCAAUUAAUUUAUCAUUCUUUCGCUUUAAAAAAAAAAGUACAGCGAUAACCUCCUUGUAACUUUUUCCCAAAACAAAAAAAAAAAGAUAAAAGAAAAAAACAGUUUGGAGUAUUAGAAGGAAAAGGCAGUGGUCUACCGCUAGUGCUUUUUGAGGACUGCAAACAACAACCCAAAAGCAUAAAACUGAAGCGAAAACUUUUUCUGAUCAUAAGAGAACUCAAAAAAGAAAAUCAUUCCCGAGAAACUGCUUGAAAACGACAUCGCUUCUCCAGCUCGCUUUGCGCUACGCUUCUGAAAAAAAUAUAUACAUGCUCCGGGUGACGUGGAAACACGCCACAAACCUCCACCAGAAAAUAACAAACAAAAAAUUAAGAAAAGAAAAAACAGAGAAAGAAAAGGAGCAGAACUGCAGAAGAAGCCUGAGAGAGAGAGAGGAUCUUCUGAUUUUUUUUUUUUUAACUUUUCCAAAGCAAUAGUAGUAGCAAAGUAGAGCUGAAAAUUUUUUCCAUAUUUACGGAAACUUUGGUCAGCUGCCAAUAAUGAUCUCAUCUCAUUCCAAUCUCCACCCAAAAAAAAAAAAAUCUGCUGUUUCUCCAUAAAAAGGAAAAUGAUCAUAAAACUAAACUACUUUUGUACCAGCUAGUAACAUGAAACUGAGCUUUAAUAAUUAACUUACCCUACACAUAAGGGUCCAUGACCAACAGUUUUGCCUCGCUCUUUUUUGGUCACAAAUAAUACAGUAAUAUACCAAUGAAUGAUGAAAACUGGAGAUCGAAAUUAUUACCUCUUUAUAUUUUUCGAGAAAAGAAACCGUAAACAAAACCAAGGGAAAGAAAGAAGGAAGGAAGGAAGGAGGGAAAGAAAAUUACUUGUUUGGGAAGAUAUAGAGAGAGAGAGAGAGAGAGAGAGCUUGCCGAUGAGUAGACUGAGGCAGGAGAAUGGAAAGUUUGGGUGGAUUUCACUUUACCAAAUGGAGAAAGUUUAGACCUUAGAGAGAGAGAGAGAGAAAGGCACCCAAAUUUUAAAAAAAAAAGACAAGGAAGGAAAAGGAGAACGGAGAAGGACUUUUAACACACACUCACACAGUCAGUACUCCCUUUCAUAACUCACAGUUUUUUGUAUGAGUGUUUCAUAACUCACAGUCAGUACUCAGUAGUAGCUUAGCUGCUGGCAGAGCAAGCAGUCAAGACCAGAAAGUAAUUUCACUGGCAGGGGAGGUGUGGGUCCCGCAGCAGCAGUCGUCGUAGUAGUAGUAGUCGUCGUAGUAGUAGUAGUCGUCUACCAGUUGUGCGCAAGUGAUGCUGCUACCGCCUCGCAGUAAAUCGAAAUUGAGGGCGUAAAUAAUGGCUCUGUUUGGAUUGUAAAUUAUUUGAGAUAUUUUUACUGUAACACUUUUUGUGAUGUGAUGUCUGUAAGAUAAAAAGGUAAUUGGGAAGAUAAAAAGGUGCGUUAGAAAUUGUAAUGAUGAUAUAAGUAAAUAAAUUUUGGCUAAUAAAUCUCUAUCCAAACAAACCCAUUAUAAUUAAAGGGCAGCCAAUUAGUUGAUUAUAUAUUUUAGUAUUUUUUAGGAUUAAAUAUUGAUACAAUCUUGAUCACGUAUUCCAUACAGACACAAAGCACGGAGGGUAAUGUGGUCCAAUCCCAGCCAUGAGCCCAUUUUAAUGGCCCUAAAGUACUGGAAUACUGGUUGGUGUAAUAAUUAGAGUUAAAAAAGAUGAAUCAUGUUUCAUUUAACUCGCAAAAAAAAUUUAAAAUUUACCUGCAAAAUAUUCAAACUUCUCAGGUGUCACCCCAUGUAUUAAGUACUAGCUCUGUGUGGAUGCCCCAUUUUUUUUUUAAAUAAUAAUAAUAACAAAAUUUUCACUUACAUCAUAUACAUAUUUUUUAAUUCAUUUUUUUAUAUUCUCAACCACCUUUUUAUCUAACAUUCGUCACAGCACAAAAUGUAUUACAGUGAUUAUUUUUAAAUAAUAUUUCAAAUAACACUCUAUUCAAACAAACAGACCCCACUUUAACGAUUUGAUAUAUAUGGAAUAAAAAGAUGAUUGAAAAAUACGUUUACAAAAAAAUAUAAACAAUUUUGCAUUCCAACAGAACUUGAUAUAUUAACAAGUCAAAAUUAACAUGAAAUUAAAUUCAUUAAAAUAAUUAAACAAACCUGAACGUCUUAGUAAAGUUUAUACUCCUAAUCGGUAUGGAUAAUUUCGUUCAUUCAACUGUCGCGGCGAUCACAUUUAGUGUAUGUCCGUUCUGCUUAUAUGUAUAUGUACGGGAUCGGGUAGACCGAUUGAUGGGCUAGUACUGUACGCUGUACUGUAGUGGCUUUUAUGUUGAGACAGAAAAAAAAUAAAAAGAAAAAGAAAAGAUGAGGAAAGUGAUAAGGUGGAGUGGUGUGUGAUGUGUCCUGAGGGCAGAUGGCGUGGCGAAAUGGCGGGCGGGGUUUAGACUUUAGAGCGAGGGAUCAAGUGGACACGUACGUGUACAGAGAGGGAGAGGGGGAGGAGCUGGGAGUUGGGACCCCUCUUCCUUCUUUUUUUUUUUUUUUUUUUUUUUUUAAGAGGGAAAGGAACCCUUCCCUUAAAAAGAAAAACAAAAAAAAAAAGAAAAAGAAAAGGAAUAGGACAGCUUUGCUUUGCAGCUGCUGUUCGCUGCUGCAGCUGGGGCUGGGGCUGGCUUUUUGAUUGAUUUUGGCAGCUACAACACAACAGCCGAAAGGACACAACAGAAUGGUGUGAGAUUUCCCAUUUUUUUACUGCCCACUGCAAAUAAUUGGAUAUGGACGGAAAAGGAGUAGUGGGCACUGGCCUCUGACUGAUUCUCUCUCUCCCCCCAUUUUUUUGGCCCUUUGAUAAUACAGAGUAUCUUUUCUUUUUUUCUCCUUUUACUACUACUACUCCUACUUCAUGCAGUAUAUGGUACGGUAGUACUUAUUUAUUACUUUUCUCCUCUCCUUCUUUUUUUUUCAUUUGGCCCUUUGUGUUUAAUCAAAUGACAUUCAUGUUUUUUUUUAUUUUCUUCGGGAGAAAACGGCAAGCAUAUAUUAUAGCCUUGUUUGUAUUGUCAUUUUUCUUUAAAAAAAAUUUUAGUUUUUCUAAAAAUAAAUUUUUUAUCUUAUUAUACACAUCAAAUCGUUACAGUACAUUUUUUUAAUUAAAAAAAUUUAUAAAAAAUAGUAAAUUUAUAAAAAAUAGUAAUUCAAGCAUAACCGAUCCAUUUUUCGUUCAAAAGAAAAAAUGGACGAGACAAAAUGUAGAAUUUCACCACAAUGACUCUGCCGUGUUUAAUCAAUUUCAGGGUUUUAGGACUUCAUGGAAAACGAGCUCUAUUUUGCAUGGAGUUUUUUGUUCAAUCAUAAGAAAUAAUUGAUCCAUGCUUACUAAUUAAGAGAUCUCAGAGAGGUCACGCUCGUUUCCUCAAAGCUCCGGCAACCAAAUUGUCAUUGCCUGCAAUUAUUUAUUUUCCUCUUGGCGUGCAAUUGAAUUCCCUCACAAAGAUAGGAUUAUUAGAAAAAAAAAAAAAAAAAAACAUUGGGAGUACCUUAUUAUCUCGAAGAUGCAUGCUGUUUAGUAAGGACAUUGGGAGACCUGCGUCUCACGCUGCUCCAAGGCAAAGGUACAGCUUGCAAAUUCGUCCAAGGCCUUGCCAGUUGCCACCAACCAUUCACGUCGUAUGAGCAAUCGAAACAAACAAGAAUAAUGCACGGUGUUUUGCCAGAAAUUCGUUUCUAUCCAAGUAAACCAUUUUCCUUCUUCAGUUGUUUUUUUUGUUUAUAAUAAAAAGAAGAGUAAAUCUUAUAUACACCGCGGUGACGGUGCAUGUAUUAUCACGAUUAGACGUAUGAUACAUGAACAAAUUUUAGAUUUUAAAUUUAAAUUCAGAUAAUUUAGAUUAUCUUUUUCUUUUCACGUACUAUAAGCUUUAUUUGUUCCCGUUCUAUUCUAACAAGACAUGGUAGACAUGCACAGGGGGCAGCGUAUGCGUCGCGGUAUAAGACGACCACCUUUUUUAGAUCUAAUAAAGCGUGCUUCCUUAUUAUUAUUAGUAUAAAAAAAUAGAAGUAGUAGCAGUAGUAUUUAAUUAAUCAAGACAAGUUGGACCGGUUGACCACUUGAUGCAAAUCAAUUAAUCAGACCCAAAGUACAGCCCUUGAGAGAUAAACUAUACCUGGCUGGUAGUUAAUGAGUAUUAAAGCAUUAAAUUAGUCGGAGAACACCCGCUCGCGACAUGGGCCAGUGAAUUGUUACAAUUAUGCUUGUCGGCUAGUUGGAGUCGGUUUAUUGCUGCUUUAAAAAAUAUAUAUAUAUCUAAAAACUAAAAGUGCUUGGUUUCUAAUGCUACUGUUCUUCCAUCUUAAUUAAACAUAUGGAACCUGUACUUUGCCAGAUAAAUCUUGGCAGCAGAUCAGUUAACAUUUGUUACUUACAUUUAUUUAUUUGUUGAUUGAUUCCCAACUAUAUAUAUAUAUAUAUAUAUAUAUAUAUAUAUAUAUGUAUAGCCACGUGACGUGACGUGAGUUGAGUUGAGUGUAUCUGCAUCCUCCGAUUCAUGCAAUUCAUACUCCUCCCUACCCCAAGUUACCAACGACUAGCACCUCAUCCAUUAUUAUAUUAUUAUUUCUUCUUGUCCAUUUCAUUUGUUAAUUGUUACUCCCUCCGUCCCACUUUGAUAGUCCUGUAUUCCUUUUUCAUCUGUCCCAAAUCAUAGUCCACUUUCCAAUUAAAGAAUGUAGUUGUAUUUUAAUUUUCCUAAAAUACCCUUAUUCAAUGUAAGUAGUUAUUACUAUAAACUUAUCCCAUUUAAUGAGAGUUGAUUCUUUUUUUUACCAUCAAUUCAAGUUCCCAUAAAAUUGUACCAAAUUUAAUGUGAGGGUAUUUUAGGAAAAUAGCAAUCUAAAUUUACUUUUCUAAUAAAAUUAACUAUUUUUUCUUAAACUGUGUGAAAAAAAAAAUAGAAUUAUUAAAGUGGGACGGAGGGAGUAUAUAUAAACAUCUACGUGUCUAAAGUCUUCUCUCACUUUUAUUUUCUUAUUUCCUCCUUGAAAUUUUCAGAUUCAGGAUGCUGGCUCUUGUAAAGAAAAAAAAAAUUUUAUCCAUUUCUCCAGACUGAAUUUUGUGAAGAAGAACACGUAUAUGUUUCAGCAUGUGAUGCAGUAAAGUAAUCUCCGACAGGGGAGAGCCGCAGCGACACUCACAAUCGGUGGUUGGAGGAAGAGCUACAGGCUACACGGAGGAGGCACCACCGUUCUUCGCUGAAACUUUAACCUGAAAAUUUGUGACACAACGCGCUUCCAAAACGAAAAGUUAGAUUAAGCGCUUUGAGCCGGGAAACCCUCGCGAUUGCUUAAGCCUGCAGAAUUGCCUGACUCCUUUUGAUCGUUGGACUCUGGACCUGGACUACCAGUACAUUUAAAGCCCAAAUGACAAACAUUGCUGUCUGUUUGUAUUACGGUCCACAUUAUUGUCUUUCUUAUAUCUUUGUCCACAUUUGAUUGACUCCAAGGCUGUCCAUCUUGUCAUGCAUCAUUCUAAUCGGUUCAUGGGGGCAGCAAUGCAAAUGCUCCAUUGGUUUCGUCUGUCUUUUCAAUCAUGUCCGCUUUGUUUGACAAUGAUCCGAUUCAUCGGCAUGUUCCACGUUCUGGGCGCAUUGGAUUCUGAGUUAUGUGUGACUUGUGAGAGAUGAUUAUGUUAGACAAAAGUAAUUAUACAUAUAUAUCAGUUAAUUAUCAGACAAGACAUUAAUUCUUUUCAUCUAAAUUAAUCAAUAAAAAAAUGUUGGAUUUUUCCGCUCUUUGUCAAUUGAUUUUCAUAUCAAAGUCUAGAAAUUUCUUUAUUUUUGUCGCUUAGAGUGGAGAUAGGGCUGCAAACAAAUCGAACCACUCGGGAGCUCGAGUCGAGCUCAAUCAAUAAUAUCGAACUUGAGUCGAAUUUGAGCUAAUCAAAUAUAACUCGAAUUCGAAUUCAAAUUCAAAAAUAUCACUCGCGAGCUCGAUUAUAUCUAUAUAUAUUUUUAUUUAUUUAUUUUAAUAUUAAAAUUACAUAUAUAUAUAUUCAUAAUAUUUUAUUAUUUAUUUAAAAAAUUAUUUAUUUUAUUCAUUUUUCAAAAAAUAAAAUAUUUAUUUUUUAUUUUUUUAAACUCGAGCUGGACUCAAAUUUGAGUUAAACUCGAGUUUGAACUUGGCAUUUUGAGUUUGCCGAACUCGAACUCGAGUUCAAAUUUCGCAAAAUUAACGUAAUUUGAGACUCGACUCGAUUAGGUCCAAACUCGAUUCGAUUUCGCUCGUUUGUACUUCUAAGUGGGGAUUAACAAUUAAUUGUUUAUCUUUCGAUGGCUAAAUUUUAUUAUUGGUUAUGGAUGUACGUUACACAAUAACGGACUAUUACAAGCAUGAUUUUAUUCUCAAGUAUUUGUACUUAAAAUUUGGAGUUUUAAAAAAGAUUGAACAGAAAAAUUGCGCACGUAAAAGAAGGAAUCUAUCAUGAUGGUGUGAGCAUUAUGAUAAUAAUUUCCAGUAAGGGCCUCUCUUCCCUAGGAAAAACAAAUGAGUACUCUUUUAAAAAUAAAAAAUAAAAAGAACAAAUGAGUACUCGCCGCAACUCCCCUGUUAUGAGAAACAUACAACCAUCAAUUAUGAAUUACCCCAUCUCUCUUGCCUUGCCUUAUCCUUUUUUUUUUUUUUUUUUGAGGGAAAAAUAUUAUUCCUAUUCGAACAUCAUCAUUGCUCUACGCAUUUUGAUAGAAUCUCCAGUUCUUUUUCCAAUAACACUCUCUUUUCUUUUGUACUCAAUUACCGCCUUUUAAGGUUUCUUCUAGGAUUUAAAUUCAUAAAAGUCGAAUUUCUAACUUCUGUUAGAAAAGGUCAAUAAGAAAUCCCAUCUUUAAAUAAACAUAACUGGAAGACUUGUUAGCCUUAUUGUUAUUAUCAUUGUUUUCUUUUAAACAGAAAAAAUUUCAUGGAUAGACUUGUUAGCCGCCUUUAAAACUCAGACUGUUACGAAGUACUGUACUGGUUCAGCUCUUUUACAUAUUACAUAACUCAAAUAGUUAUCAAAUACAUUUACUUUGACUAAUACCCCUAGUUGUUGUUUUUUUUCUAAAAAAAAAAUUAUGUAGAUUGUAUUUCUUUUCAUCUUUAGUUUUGUUUUUAUAUUUUCUUUUUCUAUGGUUAGUUUCUAUCGUUUGCAUUACGUUAAUCGUACAAAAUAGGACAUUUAGGAAUUGCAUGGUCAUAAACUCAGACUCCCCCACUCCCUCCCCCUUGAAUAUUCCCUCCUUGCUUUUCAGACUACUCAUAAACCACUUGCGUUGCGUGCGAAGAAUCCCGGACUCAAAAUGUGAGGAGCUAUAUGAUUGGAGAUGGUAAUUAAUGGCGGGUUACGUUCAAGGCUCUGAAAGGUUGAUUGGAGGACAAGGCCGGUUUCCUGAUUUAAGGUGCGGAGAAUUUCCUUGCUCGAAUGGCAUCAAACGUCAUCGUCCCGGUGAGUUCCAUUGGAUAUUUGCUUCCGGUGGACUACACGGGAUCUUCUGCCCAUUAUAUCUGUUUAUUUUUCUUGUCUAAUGUAAAACUAAAUAGUUUCACUUAUUAAUACUGCUGAAGUGACACAUAACAUUAUUGAAUGCAUAUUUAAGGAGUGUUUGGUAAAUGAAUUUCAAAAGUAUAAUACUAUAGGUACAAUUGUGAUAUUAUUGAAUUGAAAAUUCAUUUACCGAACACCUUCUAAAUAUGCAUUCAAUGUUAUGUGCUACAUCAGUAAUAUUAAUAAAUAGAAUUACUUAGUUUUGCAUCAAACAGGAAAAAUGGACAGAUAUAAUUGACAGAAAACCCCGUCCGUGGACAGAUAUCAUCAAGCGUCCUUAAUUUCUAACUGCCAAAAAAAAAAAAAUUCAGGUAUCUUAUGGACUACUUGUACCUUUGAAAUUUGAACCUACUAGCAGUGUUAGUUUAUUACCUACGGGUAAAGGUCUACAUUCAUACGACUACAUAGAUCACCCCUUGUCCUAAUAAUUGUGCUUAAUGCAGCCCCCACGUUGCAUGAGACAAGUUUAAAAUGGAAUGAAUCUAGCGCGUGGCAUUCGCCAUUCAAGAAGGAUCCGUAUUUGCCACGUCAAGGGAUAGUUCCACGAAGGAUCCGUAUUUUACCAUCUAUAUCUAUAUAAUUUUGAGAAGGGAUUUUUGGCAACAAGCUUCCAUGCAUCUUCCCACUACCAAUUCCAUUUUUCUAUCAUUGCACAUUUAAUUUAAUUUAUAAAAUAUAUUCCUCUCAAUUUCCACAUCUACUCUUCACAUUUGAAAUGGUUGGUUACCUUUUAAAAUCAUUUCAUUUCAAAUUGUUGGUUAAUAUGCAUGUUUUCCUAUUUGAACUUCAACCCAUCACGUUUUUUAUUGUCUUGCGGUAUUUAUGAUUCUACAACAAUUAAAACUUCUAUAAGACCAUAAGAAAAGAUAACAAAUAUAACAUCUUUUCAUACUUUCUUAUUAAUUUAAAUAAGUAAGAUUAUUUACACUUCAUUUUUGUUAUUCACACUUCAAUAAUCAUUUUGGUUAUAUAAUUUUCAUUAAUUAUACUAUAUGAUAAAACAAAUAGUGGAAUUGUAAAUAAUAAAAAAUGGAGUGCAAAUAAUAUUUUCUUAAGUAAGAAGUGGUUUCCAUGCCUUUCUAAUUUAAAAAAGUAGUGACUCCACUAAUAUAGGAAUUUGGUUUGAAGUUUAUUAGUGGGAAGGUAAAUAAAAAGGAAGCAUUGCCAAACUUAGUAAAAGUAAAGAAGUAAAUGACAAUAUUUUAUCUUUUAACUUAGUAAUCCUAAGUAAAUGGGUAAAAUUAAAUAAAAAAAUAUUCAUAAAAUAACGUCGUGGAUUUAAAAAAUCAAGAAUGGUACCAUUCGUGAAAUUCAAAUUAUGAAAUCACUAAAUAAAAAACAAAGUACUACUAGCCUUUUAAUGUGGAAUUUUUUUUUGAAAUAUUCAUUUUUGAUAAAAAAAAUAAUGAUAAUAACAACACCAAUUCUACCAAAUUUUUUUUAAAAAGUAACAUUAUAGUUUAAGAGAAAGAUAUAGAACAUUCAACCCUAAAAUACUAGACUUUGGAUUGCUGUUUAUUUGCCAAAAUAUAUUUGCUUACAUCAUCAUUACAAUUUCCAACACACCUUUUUAUCUUCCCAAUUGCCUUUUUAUCUCACAUACAUCAUAUCACAAAAAGUGCUACAGUAAAAAUAUCUCUAAUAAUUCACAAUCCAAACAAACCAAGCUACUUAAUUUGUAUAUAUCUGGCCCAAAUUUGACAUUAGAUUUGAAUAAGAGUGCAAAACCCAAACACUAAGGAUAACUUUUGAUAUCAUUAAUUAUUUAUGUAUUCUUAUUGCUAUCUUCACAUGUAAAUAUAUAUUUGCUAUGUUAAAUAAAUAAAUAUAUAUAUAUUGAUUGUAGUGCUUGAGAAUAUUAUAGAUAUUAUCAGUUUUUCAUUCCCAUUAUUAAAUACUAAUAAUUGCAACCAUUGUAGUCAAUUUUCAUUAUGAUAGAUAAAGUUAAAUAUAUUGGGUUACAGGGAUGUGAAUUUAGAAGUUAGGUAUAGGGGGGGAAGGAGGGAAGAAAAUGGUGAGAAGUUGAAAAGUGGCAGGAAAGGUUGAAAAAGAAAUAUGGAUUAUGAAGAUGGGCAGAGAAGGGAGAGAAGAAGAAAGGGGAUUGUAGGAAUAUGAUCGAGAUGACACAAAAAUAUUAAUAGAGAGAGUGGUACCAUGAUAAAAGAUAUGAAAGUCGUAGGAGGCAUCUGAUGACUAGGUGUUCGAUAAGGGAAGAGAGAGAUGAUGGUGAUUUAUAAUAAUUUUGAGAAUUCUAAAAACACAUAUUACGGAGAUUUUUUUUUUAAUAUACAUUAAAGUUUAUGAAAAAUGCUAAUCUAAAUGCAUUCAACAAUUAUAGGGGCACAAGAUAGGAGAAAGAUUUUUUUCUAAAAAUGGAAGAAAAUAAAUUGGUUAUAAUUUAUUUUUUUAUAUUAUGAGUAUUGAUAUAUGAGUAUAACAUAAUAUGUUUUGACAGAUAUUUGAUAAAUUGACUUUUUUUAAGAAAACUCUUCUCACCUUACCACCCAACCUAAUCCUCUCCUUAAAUGCGUUAACAACUCUUUUAUCAUGUAAAUUAUUAUAGAUUAAUUUUUUUUCAAAAUAUUAAGCAUCACUUCUUUAAAAUUUUUAGUAUAUAUAUUUAUUAUACUGUACCAUAAUAUAUAAAUAUAUACAAUAUCAUUUUGAUUUGAAAUAUAAUCCCGUGCAUAACACGGGUCAAAACACUAGUAUCAAGAAAUGUGCCACCGUUUGGAUUUUCCUGUUUUACAAAUAUAAUACUAUAGUAAUAUAUAAAUAAAAAUAAUUUUUUUAAAAAAACAAUUUUUUAUAUACGUUAGUAUACAGUAAAAUUUAUAAAAAACAAAUGCAAAAAAAGCUAAUUCAAACGCAUCCAAUUCCUCAUGUUCGAUUUCAUGUCUACAUUCUCUUUGAAUAUUUAUGUUGAAUAGGAGUUUCUUUUUCUAAUUCUGGUCCUAUUUUUGAGCUCGGCCUGGUCAGCAAAAUGUGGGUCCUCUCAUGCGCAAGUAAAGUUCCGAAGAUUACCUUAACCUCGUAAUAUGUAAAGAAGUUAAGAAGCAAAAAAAAAAAAAAGGUCGAGAGGAGCUUUUGUAUCAUUGCAAAAGAUGCUUGCUUUUGCCUCAGUUUCACACUUUCUCUGUUACCAAUUAAUAGUAGUACUAAGAUUCUAAAAUUUUUUUGUGGUCGUCGCAAUACGUCAAUUUUUCAUAUUAUCGAUUUACAUUUUCGGCUUUUAUAUACAUCUGAUCGAGCUAUUAUUAGCUGCGGACAAUAACAAUUUUUUGCGAUAGAUAUGAAGGUGUAAAAUUUUCUCUUUUGGCAAUUAAUUUAAUUCGGUUCGUGCCGGCCGUGGGAGCCAUGAGCCCGUGGUUCAUGGACCACGGUCCCACCAAGGUCGACAGGCUUGGUGCACGUUUGCAACUUAAGUAUUUGUUUCUAGACCGCGCCUUAGCCGAUAGGGGCAAUGAGCGGCCAUCAUUUUCUGCCAGCCAACCCACCAUUGGGUACAUAAAUCUCUAAUCUCAUACAACUACUACGUAACUUAGACACCUAUCCACCAUGCUCCGCAAAGAAUCCGACAGUGCGAUCGGGUCAAUGAAUCGCGGUUUUAACCAUUGAUCUGCUGAUUGAAUCGGUGGAUACUAAUUUAAUAUUUAUAAAUACAAUAUAGUAAUUUGAAUAGAAUUAAACUUUUAUACACUCGUGAUAUAUACACUUUCACCGUUAAAUGCAUGACACGUAAUCUGAAUGUGAAUUUAAAAUCCAAAUUUUAUAUAUAUGUCAUGCAUUCAAUUAUGAUAGUGUAUACACUGUCAGUAUACAUAUGAUUAACUCAUUUUAAUAUAUAUAAAAUACAUAAUAAAGUGCUUUUUGAAUACUGAUUAUUGUACGUAGAAAGAUAUAUAAUGAGCAUAUAAAUAUCAAUAGAAUAUUUAAUUUCAUUUUAUUGUACUUUUAAAUGAAUAAAUAAUAUUGUCAACUAUGGAACGAAAUUGUAUCACUUGUUUUUAAAGACAGAGCAUCAUUUUUUUAAUUUUAUUUUUGUUGAAAAGUAAAAUAAUUUUCUAACUACUCAAAUAUUAUCGGUCUGAAAGUUUAAAAAUGAAUUAUAUAAUAACAAAUUAAAUAAUUUCAUUUUAAAGAAAUUUAGUUAUCGAAUAAUAACUUAACAAGUGGUAAAGCCUUUAUGUAUUUAAACGAAGGUUCAAUGUACAACUAAUGUCAAAAGCAUAUAUACACUUUAUUUUAAAAACAAAGUUCCACAAUUGUAAAAAAAAAAAAAAAAAAGGCCAAUCGAAAAAUCGACAAGGUCCCCGUUGAACUAGUGGAUUGCUGAAUUAACCAAGUCAAUUCCCUAUCCAGUCAAAUUAGAAAUAUGAUCAAACAUGAUGCUCAAGUCAUCGAAUCGAUCGAUUCAACCGUUGAGUCAGGACAGGUUUAAGAACUAUGUAUCUACUACCUGCACCAAGAUGGUAAGCAUCAAUUUUGCUAGUAUCAGAGUCAUACCAUAACACAGAAUUAUGGUAUGAUAAUGCAAAAAACCAGUACUUAUUACUCAUUACAUAUUACAUAGGGCUACAAAUGAAUCGUAUAGAAUAAAUCUUUUAAGCUAUAGAUUCGAUUCACACUUAUAGUUUUAGACUUGAAUCCUAUACGAGGUUGAAAUUUAAGACUGAGCUCAAUUAAAUCUAAUAUUUGAUGUGCUCGAGUCCAAUUCGAAAGCUCAAAACUUUAUUUAAAAUUUAAAAUUUUUAAUAUUAUUUUACCAACAAUACAUAUACAUAAUAAAAUAAUAAAUGUAUAGUUCAUAUAAAACAUUAACAAUAAUUAUUAGAGAGCCUUACAACGAGUUGAAAAUGCAGAAAUUCAAAAUGAUUCGAUAACUUAAUUGAAUGUUACUUCUUUUUCAAAUUUGAGUUCGAGUCGUCAAAAUGCAAAUCCAAAUUGAGCUCUUGUUAUAUUGAAUCUAAAAUGUUGAUUAAGAACUCUGUUCAUUUACAAUCCCAGCAGCAGUCCCUCAAGAACUUGUACUACUGCGCCAACGUACAAGGAAAGCACACUCCAACUAGCAGUCCAUAAAAAUGAAGAAACAAAGUUGGAGUAUAAAGAAAUUUAGUACCAACUAACUCUAUAGUAGUUGGCUAUCACAUGUUUUGUGAGAUGAGAAUUAAAGGAUUCAAAUAUUGUCUCCUAUCAAAGUUAUCACUUAACGUGACUUCUCUCAAAUUCAUCUAGGUGCAUUAAUGUGGUCCGAUAGUGGUUCAAUCAUUGAUUCUAGAUAGUUGACCAUCACAUGUCUUGUGAGGGUGGUUCAGUCCUUGCCACUAGAGUAGUUGAUCACCAUGUGUCUUGUGGGAUAAGGGAUUAAGGAUUCAAACCUUACGUCUUAUCAAAAUUACUGCUUAAUAUGACUUUUCUCAUGAUUCGAUGGUAAUUCAAUUCCCUGUCAAUACUUCGGAUCACCUCUGAACCAAAAAAAAAAAAAAAGAAGGAAGGUAUAAAGAAAUUUAUCCGUUUUUUUGUCAAAAAUCCCCUGACAUUGGAAACGGUACAAGCGAUGGCUGGUGCAAGUAUAAAGAUAUCUCUUUAUACUUUGUAUGAUUUUUUUUUUGGUCGGGUUGCUAUGUGCCAUGGUGAACACACAAAGCUCCGUCAAUUCGAAACCAAAAACAGUGGCAAAAUGAAAAUUGAAAAUUUUGAAUAAUGACGAGAAGUUUUGUUAAUGGAUGAAAGCAUAAAAUCCCCACCUCCUUCGUCCCAUCCCAUUCAAUCCUCGGUGACAAAGUUUAAAGAAUCAUUGAAAAGCUUGACAGGAGGCCGUCUUUGCAAUUAUGCCACAAACCACAGCGCAGAGGUGGCUUCAUCACUCGUUAAAUCACGGGAUAAAAGCAGUAAAAAGGGGUGAUUUGGUAAAACGAGAAGGAUAGUAACAAACAUGAGAUGACAAGGGAACAAUGACUGGGAGAGAAGGAAAGAAAGAAAGAAAGAAAGAAAGAAAGAAAGAAAGAAAGCAAGAAAGAAAGAAAAGGGGGAGAAAAAGAAAAGUUGCGUAGAGGGUCAAUACUACUCAAUUAGUCGUAUGGGGGCGGCUGACGUGGAGCCACAAGAGUGGGUAACAAGAAUGAAUGAAUGUGUAACCAAUACUAGUAAAACAUAUUAACCUACGAUUCCGACAACCAAACAAACCCGCAAAAAGCAAAACAACACCAAAACAAUAACAAAAACAACCACCACCCUUGAGGCUAGUGUGAGCAGCGAGUAAUGAGAGGUAAAGAAGAAGAAGAAGAACCAUAGAUACAUACAACCUUUAGAUAGAGAGAGAGAGAGAGAGGUGUGGAGGGGAAAGCGUUGGAUUGGGGUUUGAGGGGUGGGGACAGGGACCUGGGGUCUGGGGGGAUUGGCAUGGAAGGUGGAGGUGGUGGGCUUGCCAUGCUCAGGCAGCUCAUCGGACAGCUUCAAGACCUCUUAGACCUCUACGCGUCUCCUCUUCCGCCUCCCACUCUUCCUCCUAGCUAUUUUCUCCGCUUUCCACCGCCACCGCCGCACCAGCACCGCCACCAACACAGGUAUCCCUUUUCUCUCCCUUUCACUCUCUACCUACCUAUCUCUACGCUUUUAAUUAUUCUGCUGAAGAUGGGUGAAUAGUUGAAUAUCAUACUUGUUCCUUUUUUCUUCGUCACUUGAGAAAUGAUCCAUGGUUUUGUUUUUUGACUUAAAGAUUCUACCUUUCAGCUUAGGAAUUUAUUGUGGCUUUGGCACUCUUCUAUUAAAACCUCGUUUGCCCUUUCUUCUUCCUCUUUUGGGUUGAUCUUGGCUUGCCGUUGAACUGGAGAGUGAUAUAUUUGCAUCUGCCUUGUAUGCUGAAUGUUACAAUGUGGCUCUCUUUAGGAGCACUUGUAUAUCAAUUCUGCUCUUCGAUUAGCACGCUUUUGUGCUUAAUUAUUGCAAUGGCCAUAAAAAAGAUAGGUGAGGCAGUGCAAAAACUUGCGCACAAAUUUGAUGGAUAUUAUGCGGUUUCUGAGUUCAUUUCCAGCCUGGUUUAAAGAUUUUGGUGUAAACUUUUUUGUAGGGAAGAUGAAUGUUUAUAUACUUAUUCUAUAUUUUGUUUUUUAUUAUGCUUAAAUUGCUUCCCCCGCCCCCCCCCCCUUCCCUUUUCGCAGUUAUAAUGGAAAAGUGAAGGGUCUGGCAGCAUAAUACUUGCGAUUUCUUACAUUUUUACACAUGCUAAACUUGGUCAUGAUGAGUUCUUCGAUACUAUGCUCAAAGCCAUUGCCUUUUUCUCCCCACUUUUAUUGUGCUUGGUAACUACAUUCAAGUGUCAUGGCUCCCUGUCUAUUGUUGGUGCACCGAAAUUUCUGCAUUCCUAUAUGUAUCUUUAGCAAAAUACAAGCUCUAGAUAAGUCUGUAGUUUUUUAACAGCGAUUACACCUACUCUGGUUGUUGAAUUCCUAUAUUCUAACAAUUAACUGGAACAUCAUUUUUUCACCGUCUAAUUAUUUUGGGAAAAUUGUGACAAAUGGUCUUAGUUUUCAUUUUCCACUCUCUUCUUCUUGUUCUUUUUUUUUUCUAUGGUAGUGUCAAAUUUUUUUCCUGCAGUCCCUUGAAAUUUCUUGCUGAAACGACCUGGAUUUGUUUUAAAUUUCUGUGUCUAUGUUUCCUCUCACUUUUAGUGGUCAAGUUCAUAAAUUCCUAUGUACCAUAUAGGAGUAGACUUUACGCAGAAUGUUAAAAUUUCUUGAAUUAAAACGUUUAGUAGUUAAGGAAUUUUAACAACUUUCCUGCUCUGAGACAUAGUUGACACUGUUCUUCCAACAGCCUAAGAUGCGAAUAUGUCAAAAGAGAUAACUUUUGCUCGUGUAAUCAAAAAGUGGUCUAGUCUGAUGGAGUUUAAGAUUUUAAAAUGCUUGUAAAUAAAAUUUAUUUGAAAGUUUUUCCCAGAUCUCAAGGCAUCACAUCUUCCUGCAUAAAAAUUCUGCUCUCUGGUUUCUGAUGAUCUUUUUUUCUAAUCAUUUGCAUCCAUUAGUGCAGAUAUGAUCAUAGAAUGAAUCACCACCUCUAGACUCUACAAUACUGAAAUUAGGGAUCAGACAAGAUUAAAGUAUCUUAACCAAUAACUCUGGAUUCCUUUUUAGUUAAUCAUUUGACAGUGUAUGUGGCUCAAGUUAUUCCAGAAAUACUGUAGAGAUCAAUGUUAUAUAUAUAUAUAUAUAUAUAUCUAGAGUAAGUGAGAGGUCAUCUUGAACCCAGGACCUCUCACUUACACUCCUUUCCCCCGUACCAUCCAACCCAUUCCUCCUCCCCUGUAGAGAUCAAUGUCACGUAACUACUCAUUUGGAUGCAACAAUCGGGUAAUUAUUACAGAAGUCUUUGCUGAAGGACUGAAGCAUACGUGUUCUGUUUUUUUUUCUUUAUUUGGUGUGUCUACUGUGGUCUACUCUGUUAACUUUCAAUUUUACUUUUGAUCUUCAGCAUGGAAAAUUAUGCACCUCUUUUUACUGUCUGUCAAUUUUUUUAUCAUGUUUCAACCAUCUUACCAACUUCCUCUUGAAAUUAGUUUUAUUGAUACGAAAUUGUGGAUUUUCACAUUGAUGUUUCUUAACAAUCAUCUUUGGGCCACUGGCCAUUUGUCGGGAGUUUCAAGCUGUCACUGGUUGUUCAGCCCUGUCUAAAGUUUCUUAAGGGGGAAUAUUUGAGUGUACAGCUUAUUCUUUUGUGCAGCUGGUGCCUUUUUAAUCUCGAUGAUAACUCCAUAAAAGAUAACUGCUACAAUCUUAUAAUGACUGCUGGAAAAUCUGAAAAUCUCAAAAUGUUGGAGCCUGGCAAGCCACCACCAGUCAAGAAAGCUCGUAAAGAACGGAAUCGUGGAAAACUGACAGAAACUACUAGGUCCACUGAGAUUAUGGAGCAGACAAUUUGGAAAGAUUUUCCGGAGGACCUUUUUGAAGCUGUUAUUGCAAGGCUCCCCGUAGCCACAUUUUUUCGCUUUCGAUCAGUUUGUCAAAAGUGGAACUCAUUACUUACUUCUCAAAGUUUCUCCCAACAGUGUGCUGAAGUUCCUCCAUCCCAACCUUGGUUUUACACCAUCACUCACGAAAAUGUGAACACCGGAGCAAUGUAUGACCCAACGUCAAAGAAAUGGCACCACCCAACUGUUCCCGCAUUGCCGACUAAGCUAAUUGUCUUGCCAGUGGCUUCGGCAGGGGGCCUCGUGUGUUUCCUUGAUAUUGCACACCGCAGUUUCUAUGUAUGCAAUCCUCUUACAAGAUCUUUUAGGGAGUUGCCUGCUAGAUCUGUUAAGGUCUGGUCCCGCGUGGCUGUUGGCAUGACUUUGAAUGGGAAAUCCACAAGUGGGGGUUAUAAGAUCCUUUGGGUUGGUAGUGAUGGAGAGUAUGAAGUUUAUGACUCCACACAGAACAGUUGGACUCGGCCAGGAAGCAUCCCCCCCAAUAUUAAUCUCCCUCUUGCACUGAACUUCAGGUCCCAGGCAGUGUCUAUUGAUAGCAUGCUUUACUUCAUGCGAUCAGAUCCUGAUGGGAUUGUGUCCUAUGAUACAAUUUCUGGGAGUUGGAAGCAGUUCAUAAUCCCUGCCCCUCUGCACCUGAGUGACCACACACUUGCAGAGUCUGAGGGAAGGAUCAUGCUUGUGGGCUUGCUCACAAAGAAUGCUGCUACAUGUGUCUGCAUAUGGGAGCUGCAAAAGAUGACUCUCUUGUGGAAGGAGGUUGACAGAAUGCCAAACAUAUGGUGCUUAGACUUUUACGGAAAGCACGUUAGGAUGACAUGCUUGGGCAACAAAGGUUUGCUUAUGUUAUCCCUGAGAUCAAGACAAAUGAAUCGGCUUGUUACGUAUGAUUUAUCAAGCAGGGAAUGGCUGAAGGUUCCAGGUUGUGUCUUGCCACGUGGGAGAAAGAAGCAAUGGAUUGCAUGUGGCACUGCAUUUCAUCCAUGUUUGACAGCUCUUGCUUGAUUUGUUGACUCUUGUCACUGCUCGAUGCUAUCAUGUCAAAGUGAUAGCUGUUCCAAUGUGAAAAUUCAUCUGGGAUGGGCUGCAAACAUUUUCCACUGCCAUCUUCAGGCUACAUUCCAUGAUUAUGAAUAUGAACACCACCCUUGGGACUUUAAGAGUAAUUUGUACCUUGGUUCCUGUACAAACAUCUAGGCAAUGGCCUUAUUAAUUUUAAGCAGUUCAGAAUGGUUAAUAACCAUUCUUUCAGCUGGUUAAGAUCAUUAGAAUGACUUCAAGAGUGGCUUCGGCCUGCUCAAGCUUGUAAUCCCUUGUGUGGGUGUACCCUUUCAGUCAUAAUUAUUUUUCAUGGCCACGCUGUAAAUCUUGUCCAAUGGUCUCUAAAAUUCAUUGUUAUGUUGACUUGGGCUGCUUUACUACUUGAUGGGAAACUUAAAUGACUAAUUGGAUUUGCACCUUCCCUUGCUUACUACUACGGUACUUUUUAAGCUGAAGUUCGGGAUUCCCUGCGUUGCUACAGUAGUACUACUUGGUGGGGGAAAUGCAGCUAACUUUUCUUUUAAGUUCAGGAUUCCCUGCCUUUUGAUGAGGUAAUCCAAAGUCAACCAGCAAAGGGCGCUGCAAAUGGUGAAAGGGUUGCUACUGUUCUAUUUGUGGCUGAAACUUAUUGAAUCAACUGCACUAGAAAACUGUUCGCAACUGGGAAGAUUAGCAUCAAGUAGUAUUUCAUCAUAAGUGCUUUUGAUUGAUCAUAUGGACUAGAAAGCAAUCAUAUUUCUCAACGAGUGUAUUGUAAAACGAGCACUAUAACCUAUCUAAUUAAACUUUGACGAAAAGGCUGAAGUUAGUGAACUCAAUAAGAGACUUGAGUAAAUUAAAGACAGCGAAGAUGCUCUCCUCUUUUAUGCAGAAAAGAGUUAAUACAUGACUAAGCGUACAAGUCUGAAAAUUGAUUAUUUUAGUUUUCUUUUUGCCAUGCAGCAUUUCGUUGUGGAGGCGGUGGGGCGUUCCAUGGAGGAUCUCGAUCAAAGCCACAACAUCUUGAGACUUUCUUCGUACCAUCUCUUUUCUGAGUGAUCUGGUAAGAUUUUGUGUACCAAUGGUGGUUCACUUGCAAGAGUGGAGACUCUUUCUUUUUCCUUUUCUUUUUCUUUCCUCUAGGUAGUAAAAAGUAAUUACUGGCAAAUUGCGUCCAUACUUCGGCCACCCCAAAUUUGUUAACCUUCAGAAUCAUGUGUGAGAAAGGACUCUGAUGCGACUGCCGAAGUGAAGAUCCGAGCUGUGCUGGGGCUUGUGGAAUGAUCUGAUUAAUCGUCCGACCUGCACGUAAGCGAACCGCGGGGAUAGGUCCCCUGGAACAACUCCGACGAUCAAGUCAGAACAGGUUUACGGGUAGGAGGGUAGAGAUUGUGUUAUGCAUAGCGUACCUUGUGUUCUUCCUCCGUGUGGUAUUUAUAGAGUCCCAAGUGUUUGCUUCCUGGUAGGACAAGGAGUCCUUAUUGGGGAGGAAAACGGCUCCUAGGGCUCCAUGACACGGUCUUGAAGGCGCGGACCUCGCAGCCCAUCAGGCCCAUAAGCUUGAGGGGCGGCGCUCGUAUAGACCUGUGAGCCGACCUGGCGCCCUAGUCCAGCUCCUCCUGUCCGAGCUCUUGGGCCGGACCGACGUGUGUGUGGACCUGACCGAUGUGCUCCUGGAGCCCACCACACUAGCCCCCCCUUUAGUCUAGAGUCAUCGAACGUGCGCGUGAGUCUAGCCGUCUUCUUAGCAUCGUGUUGGUUCAGUGUGGGGUCCACGCCUGUAAGUGGCGCACGCAACCGUCGCGUCGGUUCAUGUCAAUCAUCUCGAUCGUGCGUCGUGGCAGCUCGGUGUGGGGCCCUCGUCCGUAAGUGGAGCACGCAACCGCCGCGUCGGUUCGCGUCCAUCAUCUCGAUCAUCACGCCUGCCAGCUGCAACGGUCAGGAACGGUUCCCCAUAAUCGGCUCAAAUAAAUGCACGUAUCCUCAGUUUCCCGCCCUGUGAAAUUGCCUAUAAAUAGGAUUCCUGGGCGUCAUUUUCACUCCUCCUUCUUCACUCUAUCAGUUCGCUCCUUUCACCCUUAGCUCGCUACUCCACACUUUCUUCUUUCAGAACACAUCGGGUCGACCUUCCUUAGGAGCCCAGAGUCAGUUCGCGCCCUCCCUAGAUCAGCUUUUCAUCCGAUCUCCUUCCAUCAGUAAGUUUCCUUUUCCUUUUUAUGUCUUCUUAUAGUUCUGAUAGUUCUGACGUCACCAGUUCGGCCCCUAGGCACAGAGCAGCUAGCCCCAUACUCCUAGAUAGCCCUUCUCCCGACCCCUCAAGUUCUUCUCCUUCCAUCUCAUCUGGGUCAGUAACCGCGCCUUCCCCCAUCCCAUCUCCUGUCCCAAUAAUGAGCCCAGCCGAGCAAACUGCCCAGCCUCUAGUCGGGGCUGCGGAACAGGCAGCUUCAGCUCAGAUGGCCGCAGGGACCUCGGGAGGACCUAGUGGCGACUUUGGAGAGGUCGACACUAUCCCCCCAGCCCUGGGACAGAAGGAUGUUGACGGGCUGGCCGAAAAAUAUGAAAUCCCAGCCCAGUUCGAACCUAGGGCUGCCCAACCAGGGGAGGUCGCCAGCCGACCUCCUCCCGGCUUCGUAGCGAUCUACAGGGACCAGCUGAUGGCUGGUCUUCGCCUGCCUAUUCCCGACUUCUUCUUCUUCAUUCUCACUUUCUGGGGUAUCCGCAUAACUCAAGUCAUCCCCAACGGAGUUCGCUCCAUCAUAGGCUUUUUUUUUCUCUGCCGAGCACUAGAAAUCCCCUUCUCUCAUGACCUGUUCCAAGCCUUCUUCCAGAUGAAAGUUAGCGGGAAGGUGCCUGGGUGGUUCUAUUUUGCCCGCCGGAGUGGAGCGAAAACCCCCACCCGCGAGCUGUUCACGGGAGCACCUUCCUCUAUCAAAGACUGGAAGCGUUAUUUCUUCUUUGUAAAGAACCUGGGCUUUCCCCCUCUAACCUGGAGGGCGGAGACUCAGGUUUCGGAUCCACUUCCCGACCCACUUCCUGUAGCCCAGCUCAGCCGCCUACUCAGCUCAGACGAGAAGCUGGAGGUGAAAGAGUUCAGCAAUGCCCAACUUUGGGCGGCGGGGCUGAUCCGAGCUAACCCCUCAGAUCCCUCGCCAGAGAAUAGGCCGCUCUCGCCAGACGAGCUGACCUCUUGUAAACGAUCCGGCCCUCCUUUUCUUUCUUCUCUUGGUUUUGUGCAUCUACUGACCUUCUGGGCUUCUGCUUUUUGCAGUGAAGAGGUUUUCUUCCCUUUUAACCAUCGGAGGAGCCAGCAAUCCAGGUGCUACUACCCAGCCUUCCUCGGCUAUUCCAACCAGCUCGGCACCAGUUCCGACGCCUCAGCCAACUCCUGCUCAGUCCGCCAAAGCUAUCGAGGCUGGGAAGAAAAAGAAGAAGAAGACAACCGCAAAGAGGGCAAGAGUGGAGGCGACUUCCUCCCCAGUUCAGGAAGAGAGGUCAACGCCUGAACCUGACCAGGGUGGUCACUACGGCGUGAAUACCGCCGAGGAGCAAGCCCGAGCUGACGCUCCUCCUAACUUAUGGCAACGCCAGAGUUCUACCCUGCUAUUCGACCCGCAGACGCGACUGAUCACGCACCAACACCCAAUGCACUUCUGUCCUCCGUGGAAGCUCUCCAUAAACGACCGAGCUCAAUUCCCGGAGGUGGCCAGGGAGCUUGCUCAUGGGGCCAUCCUUCCAAGGGACCACAGCUUGGUCAAGGCCAUGGAGGCGUCUGACCUCCUCGACUACUAUUACACAGGCGCGGCCCAGGUGAACCUGGUUGGUUCCGAGCUGGCCAAGCGCUACGAGGGCCUCCUCCCCCUGAUGAGCGAGACGAGGGCGGCCAACGAGAAACUGCUCAGCCAGAACGAAGCAGCUGUGGCAGAAGCUGAAGGUCUGAGGAAGCAGCUCGCCCAGGCUCACUCUAACUUUGAACUGGAGCUAAAGAAGAACUCCGACCUGACCUCCCAGCUGCAUGGGGAGCAGAAGAGGAGCGCCGAGCUGUCUGCCCAGGUCGAGGCGGCUAGGACUGAGGGAGCCCAAGAGGGCGUGCGGGCCUUCCUCAGGUCGGAGGAUUUUAGGGGCGACCUGGCCAUCCUGAAUACUCCCGUGCUGCAUCAUGGGUAUUCUCAAGCCCUGGAUGAAGUGCAAAGGCUGGGCCUGCCUGGGUUUGACCUGAGCAAGUUCCCCAGCUACAACCCUCUGGCCGUGGAACAGCUCGACCGCCUGGUGGAAGGCUACACGCAUGGACGGAGGCUGGCCGAUCUGGUUGCUGAUCCUCUACUGCCAGUGACCACCCCCGAAUCUGAGCAAGAGGAGGAGGAGGGCGAGAACUAGAGGAACUAGAGUAGAAUUUUUAGGGCUCGAACUGCUAGUAGACAGUUCGUUUUGUAAGAGCUCAAACCAUUGUACAGUUUUUGCUUGAAUGAAAUGAAGAACUUUUCCUUUGUUUCAUACUUAGCCGCAUUCGUAAAACUUCUUGUCAUAACUUUUAAGAUACAUCAGUUCGACCCAUCGCCGACCUAAAUGAGCUAUCCCCUAUAACAAAAUGACUUAUUAACGAAAAACAUCAAUAUUCAUAAAAGUCUUGACCUUAAAACGAGCUAUCGUGCGCGAUCUUAACGAAAAAUCCUCAAGUUGGAGUUGUGCCAGGUACGAGGGACCUCCUCCCCGCCGAGGUGGGCUAACCUGCAGUACCCAGCUUGAUCUGCUUCUUUCACCACAUAGGGACCCUCCCAGUUUGAGUCUAGCUUGCCUGUGCCCUGAAGCCGACUUACACUGUUCUUCCUCAAAACCAGGUCCCCUGGCUGGAAAGACAGAGGCCUCACCCUAGCAUUGUAAUGCCGUGCGAUCUGCCCUUUAUACUUGGCCAUACGUAUGGCCGCUUCCUCUCUCCUGGCCUCCAGCAUGUCCAAAUUAAGACGUAGCUCUUCCUCAUUGUCCCGAGCUAUGAAAUUCUGAACCCUGCACGAAGGGACUCCGAUCUCCGCAGGGAUCACCGCCUCUGCCCCAUACGUUAGAGCAAAGGGAGUUUCCUGGGUAGCAGUUCAGGGAGUGGUUCGAUAUGCCCACAGUAUGGUUGGCAGCUCGUCCAGCCAUCCAGUUCGUGCGAGCUCAAUCCGCGUCUUCAAACCGUGCAAGAUGGUCCUGUUAACGUUCUCGACCUGCCCGUUGGCUUGGGGAUGCCCUACUGAGGUAAAGUGCUGUCGGAUCCCGAGCUCCGAGCACCAGCCUUGAAGCGCACUGUCGGCGAACUGACGCCCGUUGUCGGAGACCAGAACAUGGGGUAUACCAAAUCGGCAGACGAUGUUUCGCCAGAGGAACUUCUGAACCGACCUGCUGCUAAUGGUGGUAAGGGGCUCAGCCUCCACCCAUUUAGUGAAAUAAUCCACUGCCAUCACUAUAUGCUCAUAACCUCCUGGAGCUCGGGGAAAUGGGCCCAACAGGUCGAUCCCCCACUGGAAGAAAGGCCAGGGGCUUUGAAGAGGGAUCAUCUCUUGAGUUGGGACGUGAUGAAUCGGCGCAUGCAACUGGCAGGAUUUGCACCGAGCUACCAGGUCGGCUGAGUCUAGGAAGAUGGUCGGCCAGUAGUAUCCAGACAGCAUUCCCUUCUUAGCCAGAACCCUUGGGCCGACGUGGUUUCCACAUAUGCCCCCGUGCAGCUCCCGCAGGAUGUAGUUUCCUUCCUCCGGAGUGAUACACCUCAGCCAGGGGCGUAGGUAAGAUUUCUUGUAGAGUACCCCACUCGAGAGCUCGUAUCCCCGCGACCUGAGGAGGACCCUACGUGCCUCCACCCGGUUUGGAGGGAGCUCCCCAUUAGCUAGGUACCGCACGAUGGGAUCCAUCCACGAGCUUAUUACUUGGAUGACCGCCGCAUCUACCUGGUCAUACGCCCGACUUCGAACGACCUCAACCAAGACCUCUUUGUUCAACGUGCCGACCGAGGUGGAGGCUAGUUUGGACAGUGCAUCCGCCCUCUUAUUUUGGCUUCGCGGCACCUGCUUGAGCGUGAACAAUUUGAACUGAGUUUCCAGCUCACGUACUUUGGCAACGUACCUUCUCAAGGGCUCCUCCUUAACUUCGUAACUUCCCCCGACCUGGUUGACUAUCAGCUGUGAGUCGCUGUAGACUUCUAUUGACUCAGCCCCCAGCUUCCGGGCUAUCAUCAUCCCCGCGAUCAGAGCCUCAUACUCGGACUCAUUGUUGGAGGCUCUGAAAUCAAAUCUCAGGGCGUAGGCCAACUCAUCCCCCAAGGGGCUGGUCAGGAGAAGUCCCGCUCCGCAUCCGUCCUUGCUUGAAGAUCCAUCUACGAACAGUGUCCAGGUCGGGAUGGUCUGAUCGACCUGGCCCGUGACCUGUUCAACCUCAACAGCCUCUUUGACCUGUUCGGCCUUGGCUUCCUUUGUGGCCUGUCCGACCCCGGCAAGUCCCUCGGCCUGCUUGGCCUCGACUGCGUCUAUGGUCUGUUCAACCAUGGGAGUCUGAGUGCCUUUCACGACCUCGGCAGCUUCUCCGACCUGCCUGGCCUCAGCUACGUCUUGGGUCGACUUGGUCUCGGCGGCCUGCGCUACCUCGACAGUUCCUCUGGCCUGCAUGGCCUUGACUGCGCCACUGGUUAGCUCGGCUUGCAACUGUUCUUGCCCAAAGGAGAUCCCUUCGGCUAUGAAAUCUGCCAAUGCUUGAGCCUUAAUGGCCGUGCGGGGUUGGUAGCUGAGAUCGUAUUCAGACAGCUCCACGGCCCACCUUACCAUUCUUCCUGAUGCAUCAGGCUUUGAGAGAAUUUGCUUGAGAGGUUGGUCGGUCAUGACCACCACGGGGUGAGUUUGCAAGUACGACCUGAGCUUCCGGGUCGCGUGCACCAAUGCUAGAAUAUACCGCUCAAUUGAGGUGUACCUCUGCUCCGCCCCCUGCAAAGCUCGACUGACAUAGUACAUGGGUUUCUGGAUUUUACCGUCUUCCCGAACUAGUACCGCACUGAUCGCCUCCUUCCCAACUGCUAGAUAGAUGAAUAAGACUUCUCCUUGUGCGGGAGAGGUCAAAGCUGGCAAGCGUGCGAUGUGGGCUUUGAGCUCGUCAAACGCGCGCUGGCACUCGGGAGUCCAUUCGAACUGGGGACCUCUUCGCAGGGCCCUGAAGAAGGGGGAACCCCGAACGGCAGACUUCGACAGGAACCUGUUCAGGGCCGCCAUCCUGCCAGCUAGCCGCUGGACCUCUUUUAUGUUUCGGGGAGGAGCCAUGUCCAUGAUAGCUUUCACCUUGUCGGGAUUAGCUCUUAUCCCGUUCUUGGAUAUCAUGUACCUCAGGAACUUGCCCGACCUAACCCCGAAGGUGCACUUCUUGGGGUUCAACCGCAUCCGCGAGCUCCGUAGGACGUCAAAGAUUUCCCUGAGGUUGUUGAUGAACUGCUCUUGAGUUCGGCUUUUCACCAGCAUGUCAUCCACGUACACCUCCAUAUUUCGGCCGAUCUGGUUUUUAAACAACUUAUUGACCAGCCGUUGAUAGGUCGCGCCUGCAUUUUUCAAUCCAAAUGGCAUAGUGGUAUAACAAUACGUACCGUAUUCGGUGAUGAAAGCAGUCUUCACCUGAUCUGCCUCGUCCAGAGCUAUCUGGUGAUACCCCUUGAAGGCAUCCAGAAAGCAGAAGAUCUCGUACCCAGUGGUCGAAUCGACUAGCUGGUCGAUGCGAGGGAGGGGGUAACAAUCCUUCGGACAGGCCUUGUUCAGGUCGGUGAAAUCUACGCACAUCCUCCAGGCCCUGUCCUCCUUUUUGACCAGCACAGGGUUAGCCAGCCAGGUCGGAUAGUAAAUUUCCUUCACAAUUUUGGCCUCCAACAACUUGCCUACCUCUUCCUUGACGACCUCGUUGCGCUCAGGAGCGAAGCUCCUCUUCUUUUGCUUCACUGGCCGGAUGUUUGGGUCAACGUGCAACUUGUGAACUGCCAGCUCGGGUGGGACUCCCGGCAUGUCAUCAGCACUCCAUGCAAAGAUCUCGGCAUAUUCCUCCAGCAGGGACUCCAGAGCUCUCCGUGUCAGGUCGCUCAGGCUAGCUCCGGCCUUUACUACGCGAUCAGGCCGCUCGGGACGGAUGGACAACUCGACCAGACUCUCAUCCGUUUCCAGCCUUUCCUCCCUUUCAGCAGGCUCCCAGGGCUCCAAACAGGUCGUUUGGGCCACCAGCUUCUCCUUACCUUUGAGGGUUGCGAUGUAACAGGCCCGAGCUACCUCCGGAUCUCCCAGCACCUCGGCCACCCCAUCAGGCGUCGGGAACUUCAUGCUAAGGUGCAGGGUUGAACAGACAGCUCGGAGUGCGUUUAGGGUAGGUCGUCCCAGUAUCAUAUUGUAGGAGGAUGGCUCCUUUACCACCGCAAAGUUCACCGGGACAGUCCGGCACUUCGGUGACUCCCCUACCGUGACCAUGAGGGUUAUCAUCCCCUCUGGUCUAACCGGCGGACCUGCAAAACCAAUCAAGGGAGUCCGAACUGGGAUGAGCUGCUUGUCUUCCAGCUGCAAUUCCUUGAAGGUUUUGUAAUACAGCACAUCGAUGGCACUCCCAUUGUCGAUGUACACCUUCUUUACCUUGUAGUUGCACGUGAUAACUUCUAUCACGAUCGCUUCAUGAUUAUUAGAGGCUAAAGGUACCGCGUCCUCUGGCCCGUAGAUGAUUUCCUCGUACAUCUUCAAACGCUUGCUCGAGCUUUCUCCGCUAGGGGGAGGUCGGUUGUUUCGUCGAGCCGUGUGGCUAUCUCCUCCAGCAGGUCCCCCUGCAAUAGUGUUGAUUACUCCAGCUAGGUUCUGAACCCCCUGCUCCGGAGUUCGAUCACGAGGACCUCGAGGUCGGUCGUGCGAACUGGCCGUCCGAUCUCGUUUGAACCCUCCUGGCUUCUGGUCCGUUCGCCCGUCACGGACGAACUGUCCAAGAUGACCUCUUCGUAUCAGUUUUUCGAUCUCCUUCUUAAGGUGCCGACAGUCCUCAGUAUCGUGCCCGACAUCCCUGUGGUAAGCACAAUACAAACCCUGAUCUCGCUGGAUUUUGUCGCCCCCCAGCGGCCGAGGAGGACGAGAGAUCCCUUGCUGUUCCAUCACGGCCAGAACCCGAGCCCUGGGCGCUGUGAGCGAAGUCCAGGUCUUUUCCUUCUCCCAAGGUCGGCUCCGAGGUAAGCGCUCGGAUACGCUCUUUCGGUCCUGACCUGGCCGUGGCUCCCCCAGGUCGGCACCCUUCCUUCGCUUGUCAUCCCGCAACCUUUCCUGGACGCCCUUCAGACGGUUGGCCUCCUCGGCAUUCGCCUUCUCGUGGGCUCGAUCUAGCAUCUCCCGGACGGACUUGGGAGGUCUUUCUACGAACUCCGUAUACAACUUCUGCUUGCGCAACCCGUUGACGAAGGCAGCCAUCACCACCUUGUCAUCUCGGUCCCGCACCUGAAGGGAUUCGUUGUUAAACCGUACCAUAUACUCACGCAAUGACUCCUCGGGCCCCUGAUGGACAGUCAUCAGAUGAGCCGUGGUUUUGGAAUAAGCGCGGGAGGAAACGAACUGGGCCGCGAACAGCCGCGCGAGCCGGCUGAACGACCGAACUGACCUGGGAGGCAAACCCUGAAACCAUUGUCGGGCUUUUCCUUCCAAGAACAUCGGAAAGGUCUUGCACCUGACCGCAUCAGCAGCUGUCUGAAGGCGCAUCUGAGUCAGGAAUGCAAACAAGUGAUCCUCCGGAUCUGUGGUCGCGUCGUAGGACUUCAUGGAUGGUAUUUUGAACUUGGCAGGCAGAGGGUAAUCUUCGAUAUCCGGUAUGAAGGGAGAGGGAGUGUACCUAUCUGCCUCUGGAUCCAGCAGGAGAUCCAGUUCAUCCUGGACCUGAUAAUCCUCCUUCCUGUGAGGGAUCUCCAUCCGAGAAGGCCUCAGAGCGGGCUCCGGAUGGCUAGUUCGGGAAUUCCUAUGAGAGGGCUCUGGCACCUGGACCUGCUCGCGUGUAAUCUCCCUUCUCGCCCUCUUCGACCUGGGGCUUCCAGAUCGAGAUUCCGAACUCCCUGUUCUGCCCGUUUUUCGCACCCGACGCUCCGGACUGGGAGGGACUCCAGAUUGUCCCUUCAUCGCGCCAGAUUGUCCAGACUGUCCCUUCAGGUACGUCACAAUAGCCUCAAAGGUAGGCAAGUUCGCGGCAACCGACUGCACCAGUUGUUCCGGCGAGAUCUGCGAGAGCUCGACCCUUACCUCCCCUGUGUUGGCUUCCUGGUGAACUGGUUGGGGGCCGCCCUGAGCGCCCCCCUCAGUACCAUCCACAUUCCUCUGAGAUCUAGUCUUCGGCAUGUUGUUCGCGGAAAAAAAAAAAGAAGAAAACGUUUCCCACAGACGGCGCCAAUUGAUGCGACUGCCGAAGUGAAGAUCCGAGUUGUGCUGGGGCUUGUGGAAUGAUCUGAUUAAUCGUCCGACCUGCACGUAAGCGAACCGCGGGGAUAGGUCCCCUGGAACAACUCCGACGAUCAAGUCAGAACAGGUUUACGGGUAGGAGGGUAGAGAUUGUGUUAUGCAUAGCGUACCUUGUGUUCUUCCUCCGUGUGGUAUUUAUAGAGUCCCAAGUGUUUGCUUCCUGGUAGGACAAGGAGUCCUUAUUGGGGAGGAAAACGGCUCCUAGGGCUCCAUGACACGGUCUUGAAGGCGCGGACCUCGCAGCCCAUCAGGCCCAUCAGCUUGAGGGGCGGCGCUCGUAUGGACCUGUGAGCCGACCUGGCGUCCUAGUCCAGCUCCUCCUGUCCGAGCUCUUGGGUCGGACCGACGUGUGUGUGGACCUGACCGAUGUGCUCCUGGAGCCCACCACAGACUCCUUUGGACCUGUUUAUGGUGCAUGGAAUAGAAUUGAGAGGAGGACGGAUUGUUCAUUGUCAAGAAAUGUAAACGUAGCUGCAGCAUACUAACAUCUGACAUAGAAUACGUUGUAAGGCGUUUUGUAGUAGGCAGUAGCAUGAGUUGUGUGUCUGACGUGAUUAUCAUCCUUGGCUCUGUAACAUGAUCCUAGAUGCGUCAAAAUCUUUUCCAAGAGCACGUCAAAGAAGCUUUGCAGAAUUUUUAACCGAUUGUGUAAAUUUUCAUUAGGUUACACCAUGUUUUAAUCUAUUUACGUAUCCUAUUGCGGACGUGCCCGAGGGAGCAAUCGUCGUAAGGGAACAUACAACACUAAAUAACUCGUUCAGCCGCCUUUGGUUCAACGAGGUGGACAUGGAUGGUCACACCGACGGACCAGCUCAGUUUUGGCUAUGUUGCGUAUAGGUCAGGGGGAUUUGUUCAAGCCUUUUUUCUGUUCACAAAUUGUGAUCCUACGCUUGGUGGCAAUCUUUUCCGAGCAAGACAGAACCACGCCGUCGCAAACGCAAAGAACAGAACUAGCAGUUUUGAUGAUGAGUAGGACAGGAUCAGGCUUGUGGGCUCCUUAUCCCGCUAACCUAGAUUUAGUUGUCUUGCCUCCGGUGGCGAGGACAUCAAAUGCAGGCUGAUGUCCACACUACUAAAGAAAUAUACAUUAGUUUGCCAAAAUCUUUCUUCAUGGGAAAGUCGAUUUUUUCCCAUCAAACAAAUUUAAUAGCUUUUUAUGACACAAAUACAAGCCAACAAGGAAAGCCCAUCUCGUCUUGUUUCAUCCGGAUCUUUGUCAAACCAGGAAGAUAAUGAUCGGUCAGAACAACAGGAGUCAAAUGAAUGAGAAACGAAAUGAAACAAGAAAAAACGACCCAAAUUUGACUCAACAGGCAAAAAAGCACAGCAACGAUUGAAUGAGAAAAGGUUCAGCUAUAUAAGAAAAACUGUGUGUUCCAUCAGUCUUUUAAACACAAACAAAGUUUUAUCUAGCUACGAUUCACUUUAAUUUCUACAUUUGCCUGCUAACAGGCAAAAAAAAAAACACUACAACUGGCAGCCGGUAUUUGGUCAAUUGACCACUGGACGGUUAAGCCAUUCCUCCACUUGUUGCUGUCCUAAUUAUCUGGAAUAUAGAUGAUCCAAUGACCACAAAAACGAAGAAACCAAGCAAGAUAGGGCCGACAGGGUAGUUGCUUCCCUUCUUUGUACUAGUUUCAGGAACUGCUCCCCGUCUGGUGAUGUUCUUCUCGAACUUCUCCACCUUCCUAUCAGCAAGACGCCUUGAUGUAGUCUGCAAAAAAAUUAUUCUAUAGUUACUAUGCCUCGUAUUGUUAAUACCUGUUUCUCAAUUGAGGCAAACAAUAAAAUCUAGCAACCCACAAGACGUGGGAAUUAGCAUCAAGAUCCACCAAUAAUACAGACCCACAUUUACAAGACCAGUCCUAAAAUUCAAAGCAUAGCUUUGUUGAAUCCUUCCUUAACACGAACAGAUAAAGUCAGGAUAGCGCAACUGUAGAUGAUACUAACCAGCUCAAUGCUAGAAAGGUAACAGUUUCAAAUAUGUGGAAGUAAGCAAAAGCCACAGCCCUAAACCAAUCUAACGACACUGCAUCAAGAUGUAUAGUGUCAAACCAGCGUGAUUUUGUUCUCUACCAUCUAAUGUGUAUACUAUAGUGCCACACAUGCCAAUCCCUUGAGAGAUCCACUGACAGUAAAAUCCUCGAAUCCCUACUUGACCCAUUUUGGCAAGAGAAUGCCUGAUCACCUACGACGAAACACGAACAGAUAAAACUGCUAUGUUAGUAUCUAUACCUGCCUCACAAAAUUGGCCCGGAUGUCAUAACUUCCUUUUGACGUAAAUCCAUCACCAAAUUCACCCUGUUUGCCUAAAUUUCCAGCUUCUGUCAAUCCUGUUCUAGUUAAGUUCCACACCUCCCCAGGAUGCCCAAGAUAUUUUAUUUUCAUUAUUUAAACCAGUCUAAAAAUCAUAGGGUCAACUCACUGAGUACCCCAUUCCCUAGUGGAAUGGCAGAAUCAAUACCUUUAGCGCUUGAUUAGUAAAGGAAUUUUCCCAAUGGUUCAGUCAAUUUCAUAAAUAAAACAAAAACGAUUAAAAAUUGAAUCUGGAUCCUCCUCGACUCGCAAAAGAAGACUGUGAAGAGAAAAAGAUUUAUCCUUUCUAUCACAAAGUCAAUUGAGUCAGCUAAAAGUUCCUAAUUCCGAAGCAAUUUGUAAAGAUAACCAAAGAAUAUGGCUUUUUAUCCCCCCCCCCCCCUAAAACACUCUCACCCCACUCAGAAAAAGGGACGGGGACGGGGUGACUAAAUCUAAAACCUGGAUCGCAUCCCCCUUCCCCCCCUCAUGGAAAAAAAAAAAGAAGAGGAUUCAUGAAUGCAUUACAGAAAGAAUCAUUCAUAAGAUCCUUUCAAUUAUUUAGAUCUGACCCUUAGAGCAGGCAAAGUAUGCAAGAAUUAGAAAUCUACAUUGAUUCAUUUUCUCAACCGUUUUUCCCCAGAAAUUACUCAACAGAAACAGACAAAGAUGCAUUAAACAAUCAAAAAACACAAGAUGUACGCACAAUUUCUUGCAAUAAAAUUUACUGAUGAUAAUAAUAAUACAAAAAAAAAAAAACUGUUAUUGACGAAGUUAAAACAGCGGAAGAGCGAAAGAAAUUAAAGCCUCACCAUUGUUGCAGGGGGGGGGGGUCAAACUGCUAAGAACAAUUGAAAUGAGACAAAGCGCCGGAGAUUUCUCGGGUGAUCUGUUCUCCGGCGAUCAAAUGAUUAAAAAUCAGGUGGCCACGAAUUCAUUCGCUAUUUAUAAAUAAACGUGAACAUACUUCUCAGAGGAGCGACGGGAUUUGAGAGGAUAGAGGUCACCACGGACGCGUCACGGUCAUUGUGGCAAUUGGGUCAGACACGUAUUCCUACGCCCGUGGCAAUCUGUUAUUGGUGGUCAUGUUCUCCGUCAGCUAUGGCGGGUGACGUAGAAGGAAAUGGAAAAAAUCUUAAUCAAAUAGUGGAUUAGAAUUUAUCUGAAACAAGAAUAACGUAUAAAACAAAAUGAUUUUAGGAAACUGAUAAACUUUGUGAUAAUACACCCAUUACGGAGUUGUUGAGCUACAGUCGCACUAACUCGCGAUGCCAAAACAAAAAAUAAGUACAACGUGCCCAGCCCAACUCACGCUUUUUAUAUUUUAAUUUUGCUCUUCUCCUUUUGAACUUUUUUCUUCUCCAUUUUUUAAAUGGGUAACUCUACCUCUGCGGCUUGCAACAAGAGGAAUAAAAUAUGGUUCACUUUUUCAUGUUUGUUCACUUGUUGCAUAAAUUGAUGAUUUAUCUAUUUUCUCAUUACCUACACAUGAUAUAUAUAUAUAUAUAUAUUUAUUUAUUUAUUUAUUUAUCAUUAAAAUGCUUAACCAUGAUAUGAUAUGACUUUCUGUUUUAUCUAUUCUUCUUCAUGUUGAACUCUUCUUAAUGGAUGAAGGGAUGAACGGAUACAUUUUGUUUAAAAUAAAUUACUAGUUGGUUUGUUUUGGUAAUUAGCCGCAUCGAUUCUGAGUACAAAAAAAUAACUUUUUUUUUUGGACAAGGUUUAAACUGUAUAUGGUAACUCCUCCUACAAAAAAAUGAGGUUACUAGCAACUGAUGAGUGAUUAUGAGUACAUUUGUCCGUAAUAUUUAGGAACAAAUAAUAGCAAGGUAAAGACGAUUUUUCUUUUCCAUUUUUUUUAGUGUAAGUGAGAAAGAUUGAAUUCGGAUUUCUCUUUCAUACCAGCUUUUUGAACCAUCGAACCCAUCUCUUUUCCCAAUGUGUAUGAUAACAUCAUUUUUUUUUUUGUUGGGGUAACAUUAAAGUUACUUCAUAGUGGUGCGUCGUUUUUUAAAAUGUCUAAAGAAUUCCUCGGCUUGAAAUUUCUGAAGACGAGUGCAUUCGGUUGUGAUUAUAAUUGCAAACGAACCAAAUCGCUCGCGAGCAACUUGAAUCAAAGCUCGACUUGAGUUCGAUCAAUAUCGAACUCGAGUCUAGUUUGCAUUGGCCAAAUCGAACUCGAGAUCAAAAUAUUAAACUCGUUACUCGUGAGCUCGAGAUCAAAAAAUUAUAUAUAUAUAUAUUAUUUUUAUAGUAAAAUUACAUAUAUAUUUCUAAUAUUUAUUAUUUAUUUAAAAAUAAUAAUUAUUUGUUGUUUUUAUUAGAUUAAUUUCUAGAAACUCGAGCUAACGAGCUGCUCACGAAUUAGAAAUUCGAACUACGUUACGAACUGACAAUUCGAGCUGCUCGCGAGUCAAAAAUCGAACUAUAACUCACGAGUCUUGUCGAUUCGAACUCGAGUCUGGUUUUCCCUGGUUGAAUCAAGGUCGAACUCAAUUUUCUUGCCUCGUCGAGCUCGAGCCUACCUACCUAUUAUUAAGUCGAGUUUGGUUUGAUAAGUUCAAAACUCAACUCGACUCGUUUGUAACCCAAAUUGUAAUAAGGUUCAUACAAAUUGUAUGGUCCCAGUGAAAUGACAGUUGUUACAUUUGCCCAAUGUUAAUCCGUUCCCUGGUGCGGUCAGUAAUCGGUCCGACCGUCGACAGGGAUAACAAACUGGUCAACUCUUUUGCCCUUUUAACCAGUAGUAGUAUUUGGUUCUAAGAUACAGGUCAAUUUCCUAGAAGAUCCAUUUCCCAGUUUUAGUUGCUCACCCCUGUUAAGAGAACAAAACCAAUAAAAAUUGAACAGUUCAAAGUCAUAAAUGUGCUGGCGCUUCACGCUGUUUCGGCUAUUGACCAUUCUACUCCAAGGCAAAUUUACAAACUUGGGCCUGGGUUACAACUUAUGAGAGCUGGGAGGUUUCAAUUUCUCACUGGCCCUAGAAAAUGAGAAUUGGCCCAUUAACGUAAUUGGCCUCAUCUUUUUGGUAUGAGAGACUAAGCCCCUCUCACCCCUCAAUCGGUUAGGAGACUUGGGAUUUGUACAAGACAAAAUACCAAAAGAAACAAUAGGACUCUUAUUAGUUCAAGCUUCAAGCUCCCGCCGCAGCUCCGUUUGGAUGGGAGUAUUUUUCAAAAACUAGUUUUUUUAAAUAUAAUAAAAAUUUUAAAAAAUAUUCUAAAAAGUAAUCUAAAAAUUAGUUUAAAAUUUUAAAAAAUAUCUUAAUAUAUAUUAUAGAAACUCUUAUACUUUUAAAUAUUUCAAAAUAUUUUCUGAAAAUAUCUCAAAAUAUAAUGUAAAAACUCUGCUACAUCAAAAUUUUUCAAAAACACCCCUAAAAACAGGUGAUGUAGUAUUAUAUAUAUUAUUUUGUCUAGCCGGAAAGGAGUGGAACUUUAGAACCCAGAGAAGAUAAGGGAUUUGAAUCCAAGACGUCCAAUUCCUAGAGUACUAAUGUAGUAUUUAUUUCAAUGAAAAGUGCAAGAAAGUGAGUUAUUUUUUCGUUGUUUCACAGGAAAGUUAGCAAAUUUUCCUGCACUUUUCUUAACUUUAUUGCAUUUUGUGUCUCACAAAAUCUGCAAUAUUUUGGAAAAAAAUUGUUAGUUACUCACAAUAUUUUCAUUAACUGUCACUAACUCCCGAUUUUCUCUUAAGAUUUUUCUUACCAAAGAAAAAUACAUUGGAAAGUAAUUUUCCUUUUUUUUUUUUUACUUUAUUUCACUUCACUUCCCCACAUAACUUUUCUUCUAAUCAAAGAAAGCCCCAAAGACCCCCCCCCCGGGGCAGACACACACACAGAAACAAAAAGAAAAAUCAGAAUGAAAAUCACACGCAAUUCGUCGAAAUGGUACUCAUGGGGUCUCAAAUUAUCCCUUUUUCCGCCCUUUUGACGAUGAGGGAGCCUAAAUUGAACUUCAGAUUACUUGACUGUGGAUGGUUUCUUGACGAAUAUACCAUGUGACGGUGGGCACCAAGGCAACAGCACGGAGUUGUUUAGCCAUUGGAAAAUGACCGUCCAUGAAUGAUUUAUGGUUAUGAUUGGCCAAAAAAAAAACGGGUGAGUUUUAAACUAGUGCAUGUGCAUCAUUUUUAAUGUCAUGUGUAAAAUUCAUAAAAAUUUGUUUAUAUUUUAUCCGCUGAUCAAAUGAAUUAUAUUUUGAAAAAAUAGAUGUAUAUCUUGAGGAGCCAGACAAAUUUAACAGAAAUGAUUGAUCUAACAACCGUUUGUGCCCCAAGUUUCUAUUGAAAAUAUGUUGUAUGGACUGAUUUCACACAAUGCCCUUAAUUUAUAUUUCAUAUGUUUAGUUUGGAGAUUUUAUACUCUAAACUUACCAAUUCAGCUAGAACUAGUAAAAUUUUACACACUUUGGAUGCAAUUUGUUCAAACCAUAUGCGCCCAUAUACCAAGCCAAGCUUUGUUUUGUGUUCUUCUUCUUCUUCUUUUUCUUUUUUUUUUUCCAAUGAUGACAACUGGAAGAUAGUAUGUAUGUAUGUAUGUAUGUAUGUAUGUAUGUAUAUUUUUUCCCCUGCUUGGAAGAUAGUAACAAUUUGCUUGGCUUGCGGAUUGCGACCUGCAAGGGCUGGAGGACCCCAUGAGGUUGCAAGCAUUUUCAAUAAAGUUGUAUUGAUGGAUGGAUGAGUGAUCGGCCCUUUCAUCAUUGACAAGUGGGGAAUCACACAUUUGCUGCUGGAAGUGCUUAACCCUCCCAAUCACCAAUGCCCGUUGCCUAUUAUGCCCGUAAUCCUUUCACAGCCAACAGCAGUACACUUCACCUGAUGAGUGUUGAAACUUGAAAGGAAAAAGUUGUUUUUUCCUUUUUACUACAUUAAUAUUUAUUGCGCGUGGAAGCCACGUACUC